rnacentral:lncRNA from 1 species
UGAUGUUUGGAAUGAGGAUAGUAUUAAAUGGAGUGAGUUAAGAGAUUUAUUGAUAGAGGGAGCCAAGUCAGGAAGUAAGAUUUUAGUGACGACAAGAAAUACCUGGGUUGCUGAGAUGAUGGGUACCAUUCCAACAAGCAUUAAUUUAGAAUUUCUUUCUUUCGAGGAUUGUUUGUCUUUGUUUGUAGAAUGUGCUUUUAAAGAGGGACGUAAUAAAGACUAUCCUAACCUCUUUGAAAUGGGAAAGGAUAUUGUCAGAAAGUGCGGAGGGGUUCCACUGGCAGUGAAAACUUUAGGGAGUCAACUAUACUCAAAAACCGAUGAGCGUGAAUGGAAAUUGGUGCGAGAUUCUGAGAUAUGGGAAUUGAAACAAGAAGAUGCUGGUCACAUUUUACCUGCUUUGAGAUUGAGUUAUACCCGAUUGCCUCAUCAUUUGAGACAAUGUCUUGCUUGCUGUUCCCAUCUUCAAAAGGAUAUGAUUGAAUUUAGCAGUACAUAUUUGAUCAGAUAUUGGAUGGCACAUGGAAUCCUUGAUCAGUCUCGUGAUCAUAGGAAUAUGGAGUUGGAAGACAUCGGAGAGCUGUAUUUUAAAGAUUUAUGGGUGAGAUCCUUCUUUCAAAACGUUAUUGAUAAUGGUAUGUUCUACCGAUUUGAUAUGCAUGAUCUUAUCCAUGAUCUUGUACAAUCAGUUGCACAGGGUGAGUGUUUUACAGUGAAGUCUGCAAACACCAAAGACAUGUCUGAAAAUGUUAGACAUUUGACAUUUUUGGAAGCUGGCCAAAAUGUUUCAACAACCUUGCAAAAGUUGAACAAAGUGCGGACUAUAACAGUACAGGAAACAGAGAUUGAUGAAUCCUUCGUGUGCACUUGCUUUUCAAGAUUCAAGUAUUUGAGAGUGCUUGAGUUAUCUACAUGUUCAUUACAAGUGUUGCCAAGUUCCAUUGGUUCCCUGAAACAUUUGAGAUACAUGAACUUGAAUUCAAAUGAAGCAAUAACGAAACUCCCCAAUGCAAUUUGCAGACUGCAGAGCUUGCAAACUCUAAAUCUUUGUAAUUGUGAGAAUCUCCAAGAGUUACCCAGAGAUAUAAGUAAAUUGAUCAGCCUCACAUCACUUUGGAUAACCACAAAACAAACAAGUUUCACAGAGAAUGGGGUGGGAUGCUUGAAAUCACUUCGAUUUCUUUCUAUUCCUAGUUGUUGUAAUUUAACCUCUUUGCCACGUGAAAAGAGUUAUCUUACUUCCUUAAGGACUCUACUGAUAAGAAAUUGCGAACAACUGGAUUUGGGGAAUGUAAACUAUCAAGGAACUCCACUGAGGCUCCAAAAAUUGGGUAUUAUAAAUUUACCACGGAUGGUGGCAUUGCCUGAAUGGUUUCAAGGAGCGGCUAAUACCCUUCAAGUCUUGGUUAUUGGCAUGUGUGAGAAUUUGGAGGCAUUACCUGAGUGGUUGGCGAGUUUCACAUCACUCACAAAGUUGAUCAUUGAUGAAUGUCAGAAAUUGUCGUCUCUGCCAGAGGGCAUGCGUUCUCUUACCUCCUUAAGAGAACUUGUGAUUGAUGAUUGUCCUGAAUUGGAGAGGAGAUGCCAGCGCGACAUUGGAGAAGAUUGGCCCAAGAUUUCUCAUGUGCCACAUGUUUCCUUUUCCCUCAAUUGAUUUCUUGAUAUAUAAUAUAUGCAAACAAGGUGGCUCCCCUCGUAUGUUUGUUCUAUACUAAUAUUAUUCCUAGUUUCUUUCUUCAGCUGUCUCAGUAUUUCUUUCUUUCCAUUUGUUUGUGUCUAAGUAUUUACUGGAUUGUAUUUUAUUUAGUUUGGAUUGUUUCUUCCUUGGAUCAAUUUGAUUUGAUUUUAUUCAAGUUGGGGAGUGUAUGACUAAAAAUAAAAGAUUCGUCUUUGUAAAUAAUAGUUGUGUACAAGCGUGGUGUGGUGUGCACAACGACUUUGUUUACUUUCUUUGCAUCGCUUGCUAAUUCCAGUAUUGUAUAUAUGCAAUGUGAUGAUUUCAUUCAUCCAUAACAUCUUAAUAUUAUGAUAAUUUUUAUUUGUUUAUUUAUUUAUUAUUAUGAUGUGUCUCCUCAGUUACAUCAAAAGUUUUAGUGACAUCAUGACUUUACAUACGAAAACAGGAAUACAAUCAGGUUGACACUGAUUAUUAAAUCCAUUUCUUCUUAUUAACCAACUUCUCCGUUAAAUUUUACUCUUUUUGUUUGGUUUGGAUUGUAUCAUUGGUGAUCAAUUUGUUCUUAUUUAACUUUUAGACCCCCAAAAUUAAAACAAUCUUCUUUGAUAGUAUUUCUUUGUGCCUCCCAUUCACCCUGUAACGCAUACGUGUCACAACAACAUAUUUCCGCUGGCACAACAAUUUUUGUGAUUCUACACUGUAAAGCAAUAUAAACUGUGUCACAACCAAAAUUAAAAAUAAGGGUCAAUUUUAGUGGUUUAAAAGCAAAAUAAAUCAAAACAUUUCAAAUUUUGGCAUACUUGAUAAGAAGGCCCUGAUAAAUAAUAACUUUGUAUAACAUUAUAAUGUUAUUUAUGCCCCCAUUUCUCCAAGAACAUAAUAUAAUUAUUUUUUUUUGCGUUGUCUUAGAUCUUGGGAAUUAUAAUCGUAAACUAGUAUAAACUCUCUCUUUCUCAAGAAAGUAAUAUAAAAUUUUGUAAUGGCCAAACUUAAAAAAGAAAAAAAAAAGUAAUUAAUGAACCUUUUUUUUUGGGUCCUAUGCCUGUGGUGAUCAAAAUUGAAGUGAAAUGUAUAUGUUCCCCACACCACACUGAAACAAUUGAAAUUAAUUCAUACCAUAGUGAAAUUAAUUCAUAGCAUAUGUGUUCACUUAUUAGGAAUGAGUAUUGAAAUAAUUCCAAUUUUUAGAAGUUAUCAAGAUAAGGAACAUGUUUCACCAUGGUUUUCUUAGAAACCGAUUUUUAUGCCUCAAAUUGCCAAGACACGUGACCUUCAUACUUUAAGUCAUAGAUGAUAUUGAGUUAUUAUCUAAGCAUUGCAGUUAUUGUGAGAGGUGAAAGAGAGAUAAAAGAAUGGUGAUAGUUAUUUCAAAGAAAGAUUGGUGAUUAAAUUGUAUUUUACCCUUAUUAUGUUUGUUUUUCUUUCAUUUUAUUAAGGAUAAAAUCGUAAAGCAUGGACAUAUGAUUAGUUGACAGGAUUCUUUUCUGAUAUAAAAUAUAGAUAUAAAAUAGAUUUAAGUAUAAAAAAUGACAAUAUAUAAAUUACUAUAUAUUGUCCAUCAUCAAAGCUGAUCUGAAAAAGCUUCAGCGCACGAUGUCCAUCAUCAAAGAUGUUUUCUUGGAUGCCGAACAAAAGCAAGAACAUAACCAGCAGAUACGCAGUUGGCUAAGACAGCUUAAAGAUAUGGGAAUUGGAACAAGAAGAUGAUGGUCGCAUUUUACCUGCUUUGAGAUUGAGUUAUACCCGAUUGCCUCCUCAUUUGAGACAAUGUCUUGCUUCUUGUUCCUAUCUUCAAAAGGAUUGGAAUGGAUAUACUAGUUAUGCAUUGAUAAGAUACUGGAUGGCACAUGGAAUCCUUGAUCAGUUUCGUGUUCAUGGGAACAUGGAGUUGGAAGACAUCGGAGAGCUGUAUUUUAAAGAUUUAUGGGCGAGAUCCUUCUUUCAAAAAGUUAUUGAUGAUCAUACAUGCUACUUCUUUGAUAUGCAUGGUCUUAUCCAUGAUCUUGUACAAUCAGUUGCACAAGGUGAGUGUUUUAUAGUGAAGUCUGCAAACACCAAAGACAUAUCUGAAAAUGUUAGACAUUUGACAUUUUUGGAAGCUGGCCAAAAUGUUUCAACAACCUUGCAAAAGUUGAACAAAGUGCGGACUAUAGCAGCAGAACGAAUAGACAUUGAUGAAUCCUUCCUUCACACUUGCUUUUCAAGAUUCAAGUAUUUGCGAGUGCUUAAGUUAUUGGAAGUAUCACUACAAGUGUUGCCAAGUUCCAUUGGUUCGCUGAAACAUUUGAAAUAUCUGGACUUGAGUUUAAAUGAAGCAAUGACGAAAGUCCCCAAUUCAAUUUGCAGAUUGCAGAGCUUGCAAACUCUAAAUUUUGGUUAUUGUGAGAAUCUCCAAGAGUUACCGAGAGAUAUAAGCAAAUUGAUAAGCCUCACAUCACUUUUCUUAACCACAAAACAAACAAGUUUUACAGAGAAUGGGGUGGGAUGCUUGAAAUCACUUCGAUUUCUUAGUAUUACCGAGUGUAGUAAUUUAACCUUUUUGUCGCGUGAAACGAGCUAUCUUGCUGCAUUACGAACUCUAUGGAUAGUAGAAUGCAAACUGCUGGAUUUGGUGGACGUAAACUAUCAAGGAACUCCCCGGAGGCUCCAAAAAUUGAUUAUUAAAGAUGUACCACGGAUGGUGGCAUUGCCUGAAUGGUUUCAAGGAGCGGCUAACACCCUUCAACUCUUGGUUAUUGCCAGGUGUGAGAAUUUGGAGGCAUUACCUGAGUGGUUGAGAAGUUUCACAUCACUCAAAAAGUUGGUCCUUGAUUCAUAUCCGAAAUUGUCAUCUCUACCAGAGAGGAUGUGUUCUCUUACCUCCUUAAAAGAACUUGUGAUUGAUGAUUGUCCUGAAUUGGAGAGGAGAUGCCAACGCGACAUUGGAAAAGAUUGGUCCAAAAUUUCUCAUGAGCCAUAUGUUUCCUUUCACUUGUUUGAUUGAUUUCUCUAUAUAUAAUAUAUGCGAACAAGAUUCCUCUGGUGUGUUUGUUUUAUACUAAUUCCUAAUCUCUUUCUUCUGAUGUCUUAGUCUUUCUUUCUUUCCCUUCGUUUCUUUGUUUUCUUGUGUCUGGGUACUUACUGGGUUGUGUUUUAUUUAAUUUGGAUUUUGUCAUGUUUAGAUCAAUUUGAUUUGAUUUUAUUCAAGUUGUGGGGUGGAAGACCAAAAAUAAAAUAAUCGUCUUUGUGUUGUAAAGUCAAGGAUGGAUCCCAAAAUGGUAAAGCCCACUACCUAAUUGAUUGAAGAGAAAUGAUGAAGCUUGUUUGCCAUCAUCGCUUGGGAGCCAACCACAUAUCCACGAGAGGCAAUAACACUACCAGAUUUUGUUGCCUAUAAAAUAAGACUUCAUCCUCACUUGUAAUGUACAGAGAAAACAUUCAAUGAAAAUAUUAGGCUUCUAUGCCUUCUCUCCAUCUCAAUUCUCUCCAUAAUCUAUUUAGUUUACAACACGUUAUCAGCACGAAUAUCUCUAAAAUACCAGUUGAGAUAUUCGAUAAAAACACUCUGUUUCAUUGCUUCUCUUUCUUGGGUUUGAUUGAGUUGCUAAUGCUCUUCUGUGUAUCAAUAUAGCCUUGUGAAGCUUUGCUCUUCUGAGUUGCUCACUAUUUACUUGGACAACAUGCCGUCUUUGCUGAGCAUACAGCUGUAUCAUCUGCUGGUCAUCCUUGCCCAUAUAUUGCUUACUGUGGGCCAAUUCAUCCCUCAUCCUCAAACUCCAGUGGAAGUGUGUCAGAAGCUUCCAACUUUAACCAUCAUUGGAGUGGCACAUCAGUACCUAGUGAAAUACCAAACUCCUAUGCUUUUCUUGCCAUGGAUCUUCAUUAUCACAGUUGAGAGCACCAUUCCCCUCCUUCAUUUUCUACAACCGACGAUCAUAUUGGUGGCGCUGACUAGGGUUCAAUUCCAUCUGUUACUCAAAGAUCUGCUAGGCCGAGCUCAGAUUUACCAAGAUGAGGAUCUUUUAUGCACCCAUUCCUUGUUGGUCACAGCUUCAAAACAUAAACCCAACAAAACAAGGUGUGUUGCAGCAGAUGAGUUGGAGCUUGUGCAGGAAAUGCUAAAAUAUCUUUUGAUGAGAACAGACCGAAAGGAUAAGCUCCCUGCUCCUUACCUUUUUAUUUUAUUUUAUUUUAUUAUUUUAUUAUAAAAAUUCAUAACGAGAUUAGCGCAGGUACACUGGUUAUAAUGGAAAACAGUGGCGGAUUUAGGAAUUUUUCAAGGGAGGUGCAAUAUUUAAAAGGCUAAAAAUUUACAAAGGACUCAAGCAAGGCUCUGGAUUUAAGUCCUAACAUCCGUGUUGUGUUUUUUUAAAAAAAAAAAGACUAAAAAUUCAAAAAAAAUUUAUACAACCAAAUGCCCUUAGAAUUUAACCAAUACUAAUGUCACUCAUAAUUAAAACAAAUAAGAGUUUUACGUCUACAACUAAUUGAUUAUAGUCUAUAUGGGAUAUCAAUUAAUAUGAACAAAAUCCUAGUCAUUGACACAAUUAGUUUACCAAAAUUCAUAUCAAAUAUGAACAAAAUCCAUGUCAAUUACAUAAUUAAUCGAACAAAAGUCAAUACCAAUUAAUCUAACCAAAGGCACAUGUAAAUUAUUGGAGGUCAUGAAAUAAAAGUACACAUAAUUAAAAGUUUGGGGUAAUUUUUGGUGAAUUUUUUGGCACACAUAUGAGUUUUUAAUGAAUUUUUUAAGUUAGGCCAAUUAGAAAUAGACAUGUGUCAGCUUGCUAUUGGACCAUUUAAAAAAAGAAUCAAAAUCAGAAGCGCUGACGCAGAGUCUUCUUCUUCCUUGAAUUGUGCCUUUGCAACUCAACUUCAAAUAUUCUAGAAAAACUUCAAAAAUUCAUAACUUUGGUUAUGGAGCUCCGAUUGAUGAACCGUUUUCUCCUACAAGCUCGUGAGAUCGAGCCCAACAAUAUAAGGUUAAUAUUCAGGGUCUCACAAUGCAGCAAAUAAUACAACGUCUUUGUGGCAUUUAGUCGAACAAUUGGUGGGCACUAGCAAAGGGGUAACUUCUGGCAUCCCCAAGGAAGUUUCCGGCGAGAGGAGGUGCAGCUGCAUCUCCUUGCGACUCUGUGGAUCCACCAGUGAUGGAAAAGUAUAGGCUCGGAAUCAAACCUGCACAAGAACCAUUUUAAUACGACAAGAUGUUGAAAAGCCGCCUUUAAUUUAAUAUAUUAUAAUAAUAAGAAAGUAAUUGGCUUGGGUUCAGGAUAAAAGCAACUGAUUUGAAAGCCUGGAGCAUGCGUGAUAUUCCACUAAUCACUUUCCCUACUUUUCUUAUUAUAUAUUAGUAUAAGAACAUAUAGUAUAAUAAUAUAUAUAAUAUUAUAGAUGGUUUCACUUUCUAUAUUUUUAGUGGUGGUUUUAUUCCCACAUUUAUUUUAUUUACGGUAUGAAGUAGGUUUAUUACCCAUACAAUAGUAUCUAUUUAAAAGGGUGGCGCGGGUUUAUCGUCCACGCCUUUAUUUUUAUGUAUGGAGCAGAAUUAUUGCCCAUACAACAGUAUCUAUUUAAAAGGGUGGCACGAGUUUAUUGUCCAUGCCUUUACUUUUAUUUAAAUGUAUGGAGCAGAAUUAGUGCCCAUACAAGCACGUUUACUUUAUCGCAAAUUUACUUUUACUUAAAGUAUGAUGUAGAAUUAACCCUCAUACUUUAUGAAUUUAUUUUACCGCACAUUUACAUUUAUUUAAAGUAUGGUGCGGGUUUAUCGUCCAUACCAGUAAUUUGUUUAUCAGUAAUUUAUUUACAAGCAAUUUAUUUUAUGGAUUAAUUGUGUGGUAUGAUGAGUUUUUUCAGUAUACAGAUCAAGACAAAAAGUUCCUUGAUCCUCAUCAUACAAUUACAUCAGGACUUGAAGAUCCUUGAUGAUAAUAUUGAUAUGAGAGCUGGCAGUCUCUCGGGUACUAUAUUUGUAAACAUGUGAUGGGACUUGAGGGUCCUUGAUCCCUGACAUGUAAAUAAGGACCUGGGGUUCCUUAAUGAUGUAACAGUACCGUAUUGGUUAAUAGUGCCAUACACAUGGAUAAUAACUGUACUGACAAAUGUACUGUACACAUGAAUAGAUACGUAUUCAUGACUUGAUGAAUAGUACCAGAUAUAUGAAUAGUGACGUAUACAUAAAUAUUAACCAUUUUGGGUAAACCGUCACUAUAUACAAAAGGGAACUUGCAGUUCCUUAAACUCAUGGAUGAGCAAUUAAAUAAGAUGCCAGCAGUUCCUCAAAAUAUGGACAAUUAUGUAAGGGCUUGAAGUCCCGAAAUAUGUACAGAAAAUUAUAAAAAUAUUCAUACCAUGAGAAUAUGUGAUUUUGGCCCGAAGUUCAAAAUCUAAGGGGAUUGAAUGUCUAUGCCAUGAGAAUAUGUGAUUUUGGCAUGAGAUCCAAAACUUAACAGUGUUGAGAACCUAAAGUUCCAACAGUUAAAUGGACAACCCUUGAGGUAUUAUUGCAGAUUGUGGUACGCCACAUAUUUCUUUGGCAUAAGAAAAUGAUGAAUUUAAUAAAGUUCGAUUAUGUUAUAAUCGACACCUCAAGGAAGAAAUAUAUUUUGUGAAUUUCGGUUGUUAAGAAUACACCGUGAAAUAGAUAGUAUGAGUAUAAACCUCAAAUGAUGAAUUUAGGCUCCCCACAUAUUUUGUUAUAUUUGGGCCGGAAGCCCAUGGAUCCAAAUAUAUGAGAGAUCCCGAACUUGAAGUUGUGAGCAUAUAGUAGUUAAUGCUCUUCACUACUAUAUUGCAAUAUUAUCGUGGCUUUUACUCAAUUCAUAUUUCAUGUCCAUUUGAAAAGGGCGAAUAAAUUUUGAGUUUGUGUUUAGCCCAGGCUAAAAGUUUCGGGCUCACAUGCGUUGAAAUAUGAAAUUUGAGAGAUUUGAUGUGGUUACUUGAACCUAUAAGACACAAGGUUCCAAACCGUCAUUUUGAAAAGACGUAAAAACCACAGGUGCAAGUUUAAGAAUGUGCGCAAUUAUUAUAACAGGAAAGAAGCAUACAAUAGAUAGAUUUUUUCCACCUGCAAUGAAGGUGCAGGCCUUAUAAAAUCUAUAAAAUUACAUUAUGUUUUGGAAGCCUCUGAAGGAAGAGGACGGCGCCUUUUAAGCUUAGCCAUAAGCCUCUCGUGGUCUCCCAAAAUUCUUUCAUUGGAGACCUGCAUCAUGUCUAGCCUUCUCAGUGUAUCAACGGAGUACGAACUCACCAGUUUCAACAAGGCAUUAUUCUCUCUUUUAAGUUUCUCAACCUCCUGUUGAGACUCAUGAAGCAUUCUUUGAAGAGACGAAUUUUCAGUUGUUAGCUUCUGAACCUCGUUUGCUCUGGCACGCAAACGAUCAGCCAUGUUAGAAACAGAAGCAGCACUCUGAAUGCUAGAAGUCAUUGAGUCAUCAAUAGCCUCUUCCUCAGACCUCCCUGUUAACAGUAUUUCAUCCAUUGGAGUAAUGAAAUUCCUAGCUACCAUGACAGCAAUAGCAUCAUUCAUCAUCACAGAAUCAUUAACUGUGAGAUGACGAUUUUGGGAUACAAAGGAUGGACGCCAAACUUUGGCGUCACUGGUUGUUGUGGGAGCAUCAUUUAAAUUGAAAUAAUUUGGGCAGGAAGAAGAGGAAGCCAUUUUAAGAAGGUUUCUUAGAAAGUCUUAGAAAAACUAAAGUUUCAGAAAAUGAAGAAGUUGAGUUGAAACGCAGUUGCUCCAAUCAAGUUUUGUAGAGGCAAUAUCUAUAGACGGAAAUGUGGCAAUGUUUCCAGGAUCCCAAUAUCUUCUCGGAUCCCCAUAUUCUCUUUUUCUUUCCCAGAUUCCAAAACUUCACGCGGCCUCUAAUAAUGUCUGUCGGCACUUUCGGCGUUUUCAAGUAUUAUUUUCAUCAAAGCCGAUCUUGCUUUGCGGAUUUCACGGAGCUACUUUUCAAAAGUAUCCCGAGAAUCUCGCAAUUUUCCAAUGGUUAAUUUAAAAUUCACCGGUUCUACAUAUUCCUUGUAUUUGUGUAUAAAUGUGUUAUUAAUGAAAUUUUCUUUGCAGAUCUAGAUAUGCGAUAUCCACUUGUUUUUCAUAUCAGUGAGCACUCAAUGUGCUUAAGAAGCAAGACUAUCUCUGAUCAUCCAUUCAGGAAGCGAGACUAUCCCUGAUCACGUUUCUGCUACAUCGAGGAACUGUGAAGGCAACCACAUGCUCUAAUCUCCUGAAGUUCUUCUAGACUAGGAGAAAUGAGAGUUUGUUGUCUGCUCUCAUCAGCUUCCUCACCUGAUUGCUUACCUUACCUUGCAAUCAAUAUCACAAUUUUUGUAUCUUUUCUUUCUUUUUAUAACUCUCUGUUCAUAAGGGAUUUUAUUUCUUUAGAACGAACAUCCGAAGAAAGAAUCCAUGCAGUGAUCCUAACUCUGAGGGUUAUUUGUUUUUGACAGAGAGAAGAAUUGUGAUUUUUGCUCUUGCAUGAUGUAACUAGAUCAUCAAGCCAUACAUUAUAUUUACUGGGCCGAUACGAGCUUGAAUGAUACUUGAGAAAAGUUUCUCCCACCUAAGGAUGUAAGCAAUACUUGUGUUAUUUUAUGCUUAUAUACUUAUUUGAUAUUUUAUCUUGAAAGGUAACCAAAUGGGGAGAUAAGUCCGUUCCAAAAGAAUGGCUUGUAUGUAUCCAUGAAUUAUUAAUGCAAAUUUUACAGAUUGCAAGUUGGAUACAUUGAUAAUACACUGCACAGAUUAAAGUUCCAUAAAAUAUAACAUGGGUAUAGCAGUGAUCAAUAUGAUGCACGCCUAUUGCGUAGCAAAUGAUGUGGAUUGAAGUCUCGAAAGGACAAUCCUUUGACAUGUCAAUAUUGAUAUUGUGCACGCCUAAUGCGUAGCAAAUUGUAUGGGUUGAAGUCCCAGAAAUUAAUUGACAUGUAUGUAUUAAUUUGUGGCAUGCUUGCAGCAUGACAGAUAUAUGAGUUAGGGGUGGGCACUCAAACCGGCGAACUGGAAAUCCGAGCCGAACCACACCGAACCAAACCGGAAAAAAACCGAGUUGACCAAAAAGUCAAAAACCGGUCAAAAACUGAACCGGACCAGUUUGGACCGGUUCCGGAUCCGAUUCCAUGUCUUCAAAAAUCGAACCAGGCCAAACCGAACCGGUGAAACUAAAAAAAUAUAUAAUUUCAAUAUAUAUUUAUAUUUAAUGCUAUAUUUUUAAUUUCACUAAAAAAAACCUAAUAUUUAUCCAAGUUCAAUGUCAAAAUAUCUCUCUUUUCUCACUUUAAUAUUUAUUUAUUUAUAUAAAAUUGAAUAAUUUGUUAAUUUUCAAGUAAAAAAAUAAUAUUUCAGUUGAGAAUUGUAUUAAAAAAUAAUUUAAAAAAACAAUUUUUAUAAUCCGGUUCAAAACCGAACCGGAACCGGAACCGGACCGAAACCGGUUCAAACCGAACUGGACAGUUUUUGAAAUUUUUUUUAUUAAAACCGAACCGAACCAAAUCGGUUGAAUAGUACUGGAUCGGUUCUAAUUUGAGGCAAAAACCGGUCCAAACCGAACCGUGCCUACCCCUAAUAUGAGUUCUAAAUGUUCCAACUUCCUAAAUGGAGAUUAUUCACGCCCUACUGUAAAAUAACGCUCCAUUGGAGGUUAUAAUCCACAUUCUCACAUAAUAAAAGCCCCAUGAAGUGGCUUGGGUACCCAAAGGCAAAGAAAUGCUUAUAAUUGAUGCAUGUGCAUGCACAUGAGAAUGGUGGGAUCAUGAAUUGAUGAAUGACAAUUUUUGGUUUUGGAGUAGCUACUCAAAUCAUCAAUGGGUUGUGUUGAUUGGAACCACGUUCAAUUAUUAAAUGUCGACAAUAUCAUUGGCCAAAAUGGAAUGAGGCAAUUCUAUUAUAGAUGAGAAUGAACGUGAAAGAACAAACCCACAGUACGAACCCCAAAAGAUUUUAAUACUGAAAGUUAUACUUGGGUGUUCGGAAUAAAAGGGAAUAUACCUACUUUGUAUGACACAAUGUUUCUGGCAGAAACAAGGAAUGUUGGGUUUUCUCCAUAUUUACAGAUUUAAUUGUGCCCCCUUAUUGCACAUUUACGGAGACUAACAUGUUAUCUAUAAGGAUUAUUAAAUGCACGGAGCAUAUCACCAGAAGUGAUUCCCUAAAGAUGUAUAAAUAGCUAGGUUAAAGCUAUAUAAUGUGUCAUAAAGUUUAAUCCUUUUAAACAAAAUCCUUAAAAGGAUUGAAAUUGCAGGAAGCAAGUCCCUGAAGGACAUGUGCCUGAAGCACAAAAUCUGUACUCAAUACUAAUGUACAUAAAUUGCCUCAGUGAGUACAUUGAUUAUAAUAUGUUUGCAACACAUUAAAGCUUCCGAAGAGUUUAAGAAAUAUUUGUCUCGACCUAACGAUCGAGCAUUGUGCCAACAAGAUUUUUUUUUCUUGCUUAUACUAAGAAAGUAUUGAAGCACUUUUUUUUGAGGAUUAUCCGUUGGGCACUUAAAUGUUUUUUCGAAAGUAUACUGGACCGGAUAGAGCUUAGCUCCAUCACCACCACUUUGGGAUGAUGUGAUGCAUAUUUGAUGCUAUCUCUUCAUAACAUCAUAUAUGGGCAUAUUCUUUUCGAGUAAACUUACUAAUAGCCCAAGUGUUAUUGGAUAUGCGGACUCUGGAAAUUUCUAUGGUUGCUUACUGGAAAAAGCUAGUCAUGAAGUUUUCAGGGGGAGAUAUUCAUCAGGGGGAGCGUGGUAUUAAUAAAGACCUUCACACACUGUACUCUUUUUCCUUCAUCCAGAUCUUAUCCCACUGGAUUUUUCCUGGCAAGGUUUUAACGAGGCAGUGUCGCACGCGUGUCAAUAUACACAGAAUUUUAUGUUACACAUGGUUAUGUACUCUUUUUCCCUUCGACCAGUUUUUUUUUUAUCCCACUGAAUUUUUACUGGCAAGGUUUUUAACGAGGCAUAUUCUAUACCAUUUGUGGUCUCUAAGGGAGAGUGUUGUAAAGUCAAGGAUGGAUCCCAAAAUGGUAGAGCCCACUACCUAAUUGAUUGAAGAGAAAUGAUGAAGCUUGUUUGCCAUCAUCGCUUGAGAGCCAACCACAUAUCCACGGGAGGCAAUAACACUACCAGAUUUUGUUGCCUAUAAAAUAAGACUUCAUCCUCACUUGUAAUGUACAGAGAAAACAUUCAAUGAAAAUAUUAGACUUCUAUGCCUUCUCUCGAUCUCAAUUCUCUCCAUAAUCUAUUUAGUUUACAACACUUUGUAAAUAAUAGUUGUGGACAUGCAUGGUGUGGUGUGCACGACUUUGUUUACUUUCCUUGUACAUAUGCAAUGUGAUGAAUGAUUUCAUCCUUAAUAUUACGAUAUGUUGUAAAAGAAUAAAAGAAUAAACAUGUGGAGCCCACUAACUAUUCAUUACUGUUCAUUACUGUUCAUUUGGCGGCUUGAUAGAGUUUUCAUUACUGUUCAUUACUGUUCAUUUGGCGGCUUUGAUAGAGUCUGUCUGUCACUGGUGAACAGUGAUGAAUAGUGAUGAAUAGUGAUUAUCUCAGCCUAUAAAUAAGAAGAGAAACGGAAAGAAGAAAAGAAGAAAAAAGAGAAAGGAAGAGAAGGAAGAAAGAGGAAAGAGAGAGCAGAGAGAAAUUCUUCUAGAGAGAAAAUUCAGUGAGCCACAUAUAUUGUAAACACUAAACUUGUAGCCCUAUUAUUUUACAUAGUGGAAAAGUUACUACUGCUGCUCUCCGAGGACGUAGGCAUAGCCGAACCUCGUUAAAUGCUGUGUCUCAUCUACUUUAUGUGCAGCUCUGAAUUAUCGGACAUAUCCCAGGUUAUUUUAUAACACGUUAUCAGCACGAGAAGCUCUCAGGUAUAAUUUUUGUGCUGCACUAUUAUUUAUAAUACUAACCAUUAUGUUGAUGUAAAGAAGAAAAGCCAACGUAUCUAGCUUUCCACUAAUAUAUCAGUAUAAUAUAUAUAUAUAUAUUAUAUAUAUAUGAAAAGUUGAUGGUAAUAUAAUAUACUAUAUUUAUCUGCUUUUCUAUUACUAACCAUUAACAAAAAUGGACCCUUGGUAAUACUAAACAUAUUAUCAGUGGGAGACCGUUACUAAUACUAACACUUUCCUUAUCUUGUUCAAAGUGGUGGUUUUUAUUCCCACAUUUUUUUUUAUUUACUGUAUGGUGUAGGUUUAUUACCCAUAUAACAGUAUUUAUUUAAAAGGGUGGUGCGGGUUAAUCGCCCACGCCUUUGCUUUUAUUUAAAUGUAUGGAGCAGAAUUAGUGCCCAUAUAAUCACGUUUACUUUACCGCAUAUUUAAUUUAUUUAAAGUAUGGUGCGGGUUUAUCGUCCAUACCAGUAAUUUAUUUAUCAGCAAUUUAUUUUAUGAAUUAAUUGUGCUGUAUGAUGAGUUUUUACAGUGUGCAGAUCAGGACCAGAAGUUCCUUGAUCCUCAUCAUACAAUUACAUCAGGACUUGAAGAUCCUUGAUGAUGAUAUUGAUAUGAGAGCUAGCAGUCUCUCCGGUACUAUACUUGUAAACAUGUGAAUAAGGACCUGGGGUUCCUUAAUGAUGUAAUAGUACCGUAUUGGUUCAUAGUGCCGUACACAUGGAUGAUAACUGUACUGGCAGAUGUACUGUACACAUGAAUAGAUAUGUAUUCAUGACUUGAUGAACAGUACUAUUCACAUGAAUAGUGACGUAUGCAUAAAUAUGAGCCAUGGAUGAUAACUGUACUGGCAGAUGUACUGUACACAUGAAUAGAUAUGUAUUCAUGACUUGAUGAACAGUACUAUUCACAUGAAUAGUGACGUAUGCAUAAAUAUUAACCAUUUUGGAUAAACCGUCACUGUACUGGCAGAUGUACUGUACACAUGAAUAGAUAUGUAUUCAUGACUUGAUGAACAGUACUAUUCACAUGAAUAGUGACGUAUGCAUAAAUAUUAACCAUUUUGGAUAAACCGUCACUAUAUACAAAAGGGAACCUGCAGUUCCUUAAACUCAUGGAUGAGAAAUUAAAUGAGAUGCCAGAAGUUCCUCAAAAUAUGGACAAUUAUGUAAGGGCUUGAAGUCCCGGAAUAUGUACAGAAAAUUGUAAAAAUGUCCAUACCAUGAGAAUAUGUGGCUUUGGCCUGAAGUUCAAAAUUUAAGAGUAUUGAGAACCUGAAGUUCCAACAAUUAAAUGGACAACCCUUGAGGUAUUAUUGCAAAUUGUGGUACACCACAUAUUUCUUUGGCAUAAGAAGAUGAUGAAUUUAAUAAAGUUCGAUUCUGUUAUAAUCGACACCUCAAGGAAGAAAUAUAUUUUGUGAAUUCCGGUUGUUAAGAAUACACCGCGAAAUGGAUAAUAUCAAUAUAAACCUCAAAUAAUGAAUUGAGGCUCCCCACAUAUUUUAUUAUACCUGGGCCGGAAGCCCAUGGAUCCAAAUAUAUGAGAGAUCCUGAACUUGAAGUUGUGGGUAUAUAGUAGUUAAUGCUCUUCACUACUAUAUUGCGAUAUUAUCGUAGCUUUUACUCAAUUCAUAUUUCAUGUCCAUUUGAAAAGGGCAAAUAAAUUCUGAGUUUGUGCCCAGGCCAAAAGUUCCGGGCUACCAUGCAAUUUGGGAGAGACAAUGUGGUUAUUUGAACCUAUAAGGCACAAGGUUCCAAACCGUCAUUUUGAAAAGACGUAAAAACCACAGGUGCAAGUUUAAGAAUGUGCGCAAUUAUUAUUACAGAAACAUACAACAGAUAGAUUUUUUCCACCUGCAAUGAAGGUGCAGGCCCUGUAAAAUCUAUAAAAUUACAUUAUGUUCUAGAAGCCUCUGAAGGAAGAGGACGGCGCCUCUUAAGCUUAGCCAUGAGCUUCUCGUGGUCUCCCAAAAUUCUUUCAUUGGAGACCUGCAGCAUGUCUAGCCUUCUCAGUGUAUCAACUGAGUACGAACUCACCAGUUUCAACAAGGAAUUAUUCUCUCCUUUAAGUUUCUCAACCUCCUGUUGAGACUCAUGAAGCAUUCUUUGGAGAGACGAAUUUUCAGUUGUCAGCUUCUCAACCUUGUUUGCUCUAACACGCAAACGAUCAGCCAUGUUAGAAACAGAAACAGCACUCUGAAUGCUAAAAGCCAUUGAGUCAUCAAUAGCCUCUUCCUCAGACCUCCCUGUUAACAGCAUUUCAUCCAUUGGAGUAAUGAAAUUCCUAGCUACUAUGACAGCAGUAGCAUCAUUCAUCAUCACAGAAUCAUUAACUGUGAGAUGACGAUUUUGGGAUACAAAGGAUGGACGCCAAACUUUGGCGUCACUGUUUGCUGUUGGAGCAUCAUUUAAAUUGAAAUAAUUUGGGCAGGAAGAAGAGGAAGCCAUUUUUGAGAAGGUUUCGAAGAAAGUCUUAGGAAAACUAAAGUUUCAGAAAAUGAAGAAAUUUGAGUUGAAACGCAGUUGCUCCAAUCAAGUUUUACAAAGGCCAUAUCUAUAGGAGGAAAUAUGGCUACUGUUUUUCAGGACCCCAAUAUCUUCUCGAAUCCCCAUAUUAUCUUUUUCUUUCCUAGAGUCCAAAACUUCACGUGGCCUCUAAUAAUGCAUGUCGGCACUUUCGGCGUUUUCAAGCAUUAUUUUCAAAGCCGAUCUUGCUUUACGGAUUUCAGGGAGCUACUUUUUCAAAAGCAUCCCGAGAAUCUCGCACUUUUUCAACAGCAUCCCGAGAAUCUCGCAAUUUUCCUAUGGUUAAUUUGAAAUUCACCGGUUCUACCUAUUCAUUGUAUUUGUGUAUAAAUGUGUUACUAACGAAAUUUUCUUUGCAGAAGACAUCCAGUUUACUUCAUACCUAGUGAUGCGAUAUCUACUUGUUUUUCUUAUCAGUAAGCACUUAAUAUGCCUGAGAAGCAAGACUAUCUCUGAUCAUCCAUUCAGGAAGCAAGACUAUCCCUGAUCAUGUUUCUGCAAGAUCAGGGAAUUGUAAAGGCGGCCUUAUGCUCUAAUCUCCUGAGGUCCUUCUAGACUAGGAGAUAUGAGAGCUUAUUGUCUGCUCCCACCAGCUUCCUUCCCUGAUUGCUUACCUUCUCUUGCAAUCAAUAUCACAUUAUUUUUGCAUUUUUUCUCUUUUUAUAACUCUUUGUUCAUAAGAGAUUUUAUUUCUUUAGAAUGAACAUCUGAAGAAUGAAUCCAUGAAGUAAUCCUAACUAUGAGGGUUAUUUGUUUUGACAGAGGCAAAAGAGUUGUGAUUUUUGCUAUUGCAGGAUAUAACUAGAUCAUCAAGCGCUACAUUAUAUUUACUGGGCUGAUAUGAGCUUGAAUGAUACUUGAGAAAAGUUUCUCCCACCUAAGGAUGUAAGCAAUACUUGUGUUAUUUUAUGCUUAUAUACCUAUUUGAUAUUUUAUCUUGAAAGGUAACCAAAUGGGGAGAUAAGUCCGUUCCAAAAGAAUGACUUGUAUGUAUCCAUGAAUUAUUAAUGCAAAUUUUACAGAUUGCAAGUUGGAUACAUUGAUAAUACACUGCACAGAUUAAAAGUCCCAUAAGAACAUAACAUGGGUAUAGCAGUGAUCAAUAUGAUGCACGCCUGUUGCGUAGCAAAUGAUGUGGAUUGAAGUCCCAAAUGGACAAUCCUUUGACAUGUCAAUAUUGAUAUUAUGCACGCCUAAUGCGUAGCAAAUUAUAUGGGUUAAAGUCCCAUAAUAUGGGUUAAAGUCUCAGAAAUUAAUUGACAUGUAUGUAUUAAUCUGUGGCAUGCCUGCAGCAUGACAGAUAUAUGGGUUCUCAAUGUUCCAACUCCCUAAAUAGAGAUUAUCCACGCCCUACUACUAAAUAACGCUCCAAUGGAGGUUAUAAUCCACAUUCUCACAUAAUAAAAGCCCCAUGAAGUGGCUUGGGUACCCAAAAGCAAAGAAAUGCUUAUAAUUGAUGCAUGCGCAUGCAAAUGAGAAUGGUGGGAUCAUGAAUUGAUGAAUGACAAUUUUUGAUCAUGAAUUGAUGAAUGAAAAUUUUUGGUUUUGGAGUAGCUACUCAAAUCAUCAAUGGGCUGUGUUGAUUGGAACCACGUUCAAUUAUUAAAUGUCGACAAUAUCAUUGGCCAAAAUGGAAUGAGGCAAUUCCAUUAUAGAUGAGAAUGAACGUGAAAGAACAAACCCACAGUACGAACCCUAAAAGAUGUUAAUAUUAAAAGUUAUACUUGGGUGUUCGGAAUAAAAAGGGAAUAUACCUACUUUGUAUGACACAAUGUUUUUGACAUAAACAAGGGAUGUUGGGUUUUCUCCAUAUUUAUAGAUUCAAUUGUGCCCCUUUAUUACACAUUUACGAAGACCAACAUGUUAUCUUUAAGGGUUAUUAAAUACACAGAGCAUAUCACCUGAAGUGAUUCCCUAAAGAUAUAUAAAUAGCUGGGUUAAAGCUAUAUAAUGUGUCAUAGAGUUUAAUCCCUUUAAACAAAAUCCUUGAAAGGAUUGAAAUUGCAUGAAGCAAGUCUGUGGACAUGUGCCUGAAGCACAAAAUAUGUACUCAAUGUUAAUGUACAUAAAUUGCCUCAGUGAGUAUAUUGAUUAUAAUGUGUUUGCAACACAUUAAAGCUUCUCAAGAAUUCCAGAAAUAUUUGUCUCGACUUAAAGAUCGAGCAUUAUGCCAACGAGAUACUUGCUUAUACUAAGAAAGUAUUGAAGCAUUUUUAUGAGGAUUAUCCGUUGGGCACUUUAAGGAUUUUCCGGAAGUAUGUUGGACCGGACAUCAUAUUUUCCAGAUAAGGCUCAACUCCAUCACCAUCAUUUUGGGAUGAUGUGAGGUAUAUUUGAUGCUAUUUCCGCAUAACACCAUGUAUGGGCAUAUUCUUUCAAGUGAACUUAUAAAUAGCCCAAGCGUUAUUAGAUAUGCGGACUCUGAAAAUUUCUAUGAUUUACAUAGAGAUAGCUUACUGGAAAUAUAUUUACUAUAUGAAUUGUUGGUGGCUACAUCAUCCACUCACUCCGAAAGAUUCUCAAUCCAAAAGAUAGUCAUGAAGACAUCAGGGGGAGAUAUUAAUCAGGGGGAGCAUCCAGAAGUAUGCUAUACAGAUUGUUGUACUCUUCUUUCCAUCAGUUCUCUACCUUACUAGGUUUUCUCCAAGCAAGUCUUUAAUGAUACAACCGACAUAUCAUUAGUGGUCUCCAAGGGGGAGUGUUGUAAAAGAAUAAAAGAAUAAACAUGUGGAGCCCACUAACUAUUCAUUACUGUUCAUUACUGUUCAUUUGGCGGCUUGAUAGAGUUUUCAUUACUGUUCAUUACUGUUCAUUUGGCGGCUUUGAUAGAGUCUGUCUGUCACGGGUGAACAGUGAUGAAUAGUGAUGAAUAGUGAUUAUUUCAGCCUAUAAAUAAGAAGAGAAACGGAAAGAAGAAAAGAAGAAAAAAGAGAAAGGAAGAGAAGGAAGAAAGAGGAAAGAGAGAGCAGAGAGAAAUUCUCCUAGAGAGAAAAUUCAGUGAGCCACAUAUAUUGUAAACACUAAACUUGUAGCCCUAUUAUUUUACAUAGUGGAAAAGUUACUACUGCUGCUCUCCGAGGACGUAGGCAUAGCCGAACCUCGUUAAAUGCUGUGUCUCAUCUACUUUACGUGCAGCUCUGAAUUAUCGGACAUAUCCCAGGUUAUUUUAUAACACGAUAAUCUUUAUUUAUUUGUUUAUUUAUUUAUUAUUAUGAGGUUCAGUGCUGCUUCAGCUAUCCUUUUUUUUUUUUUUUAAUUUUAUUUUAUAAUCUUUUUCAUCGAACUGUUCUGUUUUGCUAUGCUACAACACAAAUGGUACCACCUUCUCAGUCUCCAAACCUAGGGAUCAACAUGUAAAAAGAGAUAAAAUUUCAGAAUUUUUUUAACGGAAUCUUAGCAUAAGAGUUGUAAGAUGGUGUUGUUCUGGAGAGAAAUCGGGUCUGUGGAGAAAUCUGGGUGGAUGGGGGGUGGGGAAAGAAAUUGAUUUGGACAAGCAUCAGGUGCAUCAAUAGACAAACCGCUCAGUGGGGACUUCCAAGCCCAAUUAUUCCAUGACCUACUGCGAUGGUAACAUUAAAAAAUUUCAUCCAACUUGAAUGAACUUCAAAGAUUUUGAAAAUCUCUCCCAACCUCUGAUAUUUUUAGUGUAGUGACCCACCAAAAGCACUUUCUCCCUCCUUUCCUUUUCAACUUGGGAAGAAAGAAGACAUAAAUUUCUCUCAUUGCUUUGAAUUAAAAAAUUGUAAAACAUUCCAGAUUCUUGCCUUAGCUGUAUAAAAUUCUAACAAAUAAAGUGCAGGUGGAGGAGAACGACAACGUUUUGGUGUUGAGCGGGGAGCGAAGGAGGGAGAAAGAGAUCGAGGAGAGUGGGGUUAAAUACGUGAGGAUGGAGAGGAGGAUUGGGUGGGGGUUCUGGGUUCAUGGGGGUUGGUGGUGGUCAUGGGAAUGGAGGGGGAAGAAAUUGGUGGGGUAGAGAGAGUUUUUUUUAUAAAUAAGUAUUUUAAUUAAUUUAAUAUUAAUGAAAAGACAAAUAUGCCCUUAUUUUUAAUAAAAAAAUUGAUUGAAAUGACCAAAAAGACGAUAUCUCAAAAUGAAAACAUAAUUAAAAUAUCACCAUAAUAAUUUAGCAAUGGAAAAUGAAAAGUAAAGUUUGGUCUGAAAAUAAGUUUUUUCAUUUCUUUUCUUUUAAAAUUGUUAAAAAUGCAUUGAUAAUUAACCGGAACAAUGAAGAAGAGAAAUUGUAAUAAAAAUUGGGAAACCGGAAGUUGUGGGUCCAGAAUAGAUUUGAAUAUUUUCUAAUUAAAAGAACGUGAAAAUAAGUUUUUAAUUAUUUUUUAUUUUAAAAUUGUUAAAAAUGCAUUGAUAAUUAGCCGCAAAAGGACAAUUGUAAAUAAGAACGGAGAAAUCAUUGUGCCUACUGAACGUGGAAUAAUUUGUCUUUGGCGCACCCACCCUCAAGUUGUCUUUAUAAUAUUCGUACCUACUGAACGUGGGACAGAGCAUUCUUAAAAAGACAAAAUAUCGGAGACUCAAACUUGGGACAGUGCAUUCAUACCUUGGGAAGCCACAACAGUCAUCUUCAUCCUCCGAAUUCUCUUGUAUUGUAAUUUGUAUACACCCUCUCAACAAAACCAUGGCUGAAGUUGCAUUUCCUUUGGCAACCAAACUCAUUGAAAAGCUCGGGUCUAUUGCUUCUGAGCAGAUCUGCUUGGCAUGGGGCGUUAAAGCCGAUCUGAAAAAGCUUCAGCGCACAAUGUCCACCAUCAAAGAUGUCCUCUUGGAUGCCGAACAGAAGCAAGCUCAUAACCAGCAGAUACGCAGUUGGCUACGACAGCUUAAAGACGUAUUUCUUGAUGCCGAGGACUUGUUGGAUGAGUUUGAGUGCGAAGCUUUGCGGAGGGAAGUGGUGGAAACAUUUCAUGGCACAACUGGAAAGGUACGCCGUUUCUUCUCUCGUUCUAAUCCAAUCGCAUUCCGUUUCAGAGUAGGCAAUGAAAUCAAGGAGAUUAGAGAGAGAUUAGAUGAGCUCAAGUCCAAUAAGGCUAUAUUUGAUUCUCUCACCAUUCUUCCUCAUGGAUAUGGAGGUGAGGAUCAUGAAAGACCUUUCGUUCCUGCUUCAAAGGUUAUUGGUAGAGAGUCUGAGAAGGAAGAAAUUGUGAAUCUGUUGAUGCAACAAGGUGAUGAUGAUCAAAGUGGGAAUUCUAAUAAUAAAGUCUCUGUCAUUCCGAUAGUGGGGAUUGGAGGUUUAGGGAAGACCACACUUGCCAAGUGGGUGUACGAUGAUAAAAGGGUCGUUGGGCAUUUCGAAUUGAGGAUGUGGGCAUCUGUUCCGGUGGACUUUGAACUUACUAAAUUGACAAGACUGAUUCUUGGUUCUGCAUUAAAUACAGAGAUCAGUGAUAAAUUGACUCUGGAUCAGUUGCAAGGAAAGCUACGUGAAGCUUUGAAGGAUAAGACAUUUCUGCUUGUCUUGGAUGAUGUUUGGAAAGAUGAUGCUUUGAAGUGGAGUCAGUUGAGAGAUCUAGUGAUAGAGGGAGCCAAGUCAGGAAGUAAGAUUUUAGUGACGACAAGAAGUACCACAGUCGCUGAGAUCAUGGGUACCAUUCCAGAAAACAUUAAUUUAGAAUUUCUUUCUUUUGAGGAGUGCUUGUCAUUGUUUGUAGAAUGUGCUUUUAAAGAGGGACAUGAGAAAGAAUAUCCUAACCUCUUUAAAAUGGGGGAAGAAAUUGUUAGAAAGUGCGGAGGGGUUCCAUUGGCAGUGAAAACUUUAGGGAGUCAACUAUACUCAAAGACUGAUCAAAGGGAAUGGAAACUGGUUAGAGAUUCUGAUAUAUGGAAAUUGAAACAAGAAGAUAGUCACAUUUUACCUGCUUUGAGACUGAGUUAUACCAGAUUGCCUCCUCAUUUGAGACAAUGUCUUGCUUACUGUUUCCAUCUUCGAAAGGAUAGGAUUGAGUUUAAUAGUUCUGAUUUGAUCAGCUAUUGGAUGGCACAUGGAAUCCUUGAUCAAUCUCGUGUUCAUGGGAAUAUGGAGUUGGAAGACAUCGGAGAGCUAUAUUUUAAGGAUUUAUGGGCGAGAUCCUUCUUUCAAAACGUAAUUGAUCUUGAUAUUUACUACCGAUUUGAUAUGCAUGAUCUUAUCCAUGAUCUUGUACAAUCAGUUGCACAAGGUGAGUGUUUUACAGUGAAGUCUGCAAACACCGAAGACAAAUCUGAAAAUGUUAGACAUUUGACAGUUUUGGAAGCUGGCCAAAAUGUUUCAACAACCUUGCAAAAGUUGAACAAAGUGCGGACUAUAACAGCAGUGGAAACAAAGAUCGAUGAAUCCUUCAUGUGCACUUGCUUUUCAAGAUUCAAGUAUUUGCGAGUGGUUGAGUUACUUACAUGUUCAUUACAAGUGUUGCCAAGUUCCAUUGGUUCCCUGAAACAUUUGAGAUAUCUGGACUUGAGUUAUAAUGAAGCAAUAACGAAACUCCCUAAUGCAAUUUGCAGACUGCAGAGCUUGCAGUCUCUAUAUCUUAUUGGAUGUGUGAAUCUUGAAGAGUUGCCCAGAGAUAUAAGCAAAUUGAUCAGCAUCAUAACACUUGAAUUAACCACAAAACAAACAAGUUUUCCAAAGAAUGGGGUGGGAUCCUUGAAAUCACUUCGAUUUCUUACUAUUUCUAGGUGUAGUAAUUUAACCUCUUUGCCACAUGAAACGAGCUAUCUUGCUUCCUUACGGACUCUAAUGCUAUACAAAUGUGAAAAACUGGAUUUGUGGAACGUAAAUUAUCCCGGAACUCCACUGAGGCUUCAAGAAUUGGAUAUUGAAAAUUUACCGCGGAUGGUGGCAUUGCCUGAAUGGUUUCAAGGAGCAGCUAACACCCUUCAAUUCUUGUAUAUUGGCAUGUGUGAGAAUUUGGAAGCAUUACCUGAGUGGUUGGCAAGUUUCACAUCACUCAAAAAGUUGGUCAUUGAUUCAUGUCAGAAAUUGUUGUCUCUGCCAGAGGGGAUGUGUUCUCUUACCUCCUUAAGAGAACUUGUGAUUGAUGAUUGUCCUGAAUUGGAGAGGAGAUGCCAGCGCAACAUUGGAGAAGAUUGGCCCAAGAUUUCUCAUGUGCCACAUGUUUCCUUUUCCUACCUUUGAUUUCUCGAUAUAUAAUACAUGCGAACAAGGUGGAUCCUCUCGUGUGUUUGUUCUAUACUAAUUCCUAGUUUCUUUUUUCAGCUGUCUCAGUAUUUUUUUUCUUUGUUUGUUUGUUUGUUUUCUUGUGUCUUGUACUGGGUUGUGUUUUAUUUAGUUUGGAUUGUGUCAUGCUUGAUCUAUUUUAUUUUAUUUUAUUCAAGUUGUGGAGUGGACAACCAAAAAUAAAACAAUCGUCUUUGUAAAUAUUAAUAAUAGUCGUCCUCCACAACACAUUACACAUGCGUGGUGAUGGUGUGGUGUUGUGCUCUUGCUAAUUCCAGUAUUGUAUUGUGAUAUUUCAUCCAUAACAUCAUCUCCAUCUAAUACAUGAUAAUCUUUAUUUAUUUAUUUAUUAUUGUGAGGAGUCUCCUCAGCUGCAUCAAAAGUUUUGGUGGCAUUAUUAUGGCUUUACAUUCGAAUAUAUAACUCAACAUCACGAAAGUAGGAAUUAAUUGAAGGUAAAUUACAAUCAGCUUGCCACUGAUUAGCAGAUCCUUUUUUCUUUUUUUUCACUGAAUUAAGAAAAUCUGCAAAGUUCUUACUUUCUUACAACCAGCACUACGGUAGAGGAACGAUGCAAGCCACGGAUGUUGUGAGCCAAAUCCUCAUACUAAAAUUUUCAUUUUUGCAUAUAUUUUGUUUUCACCAUUCUUUCUCAUUCAUCCUUUUUACAUCACCACACAUACAUUGCACUCAAGUCCCAAAAUUAACAUAUGAGACCUCUUGACUUGGAUCUGGCCGGUUGAAUCUUAUGUUUCCCCGUUGACACAGUCCGAAUCUCGGUACUUCCAGUUGACCAAAAAUUUAUCAUAACUACUCACCAAAAAUUUGUUCGAAUCUAUCAUAUUUUGCCUCACGAACUAGUUGGACAAUAGUCCAAGGCUAAACUCACCCAGCAAAAUGAAGAUUAAUAAAUAUAAGAAGUAAUCCGUAUGAAGGAGCAGUUGACCCAUAACCCAAACCUUUUAUAACAAAAUUCCACGUAACCCAAUCCUCAGAAUUGUUCAAGCCCUACGUUUUGGGCCACAAUAAAGCGUACUAGACUGUUUGGGUUGCCCAAGAGCUAGGAUGUGUACAAACGCCAUGUUAAUUGUUGUUAACUUUGAGUAGGAGCAGACGUUGUCUUAAGUACUUCUUCCUGCUUGUCUUCUGUAGGUCCUUUCCUUACUGAAGGUUCUCACCUUCUUCCCUACUGAAAACUCUACACUCCUCUCUAAGUUGAUCCUCCCAAAAAGAGCAUCAACAUGUACUAUUAUAGGUACUAAUCUUUGACAAUUUCUAUUUGUUUCAGUAUUUGCUAGGGUUGGUUUUGGUUGAUGGUCACUGAGCUGGAAUUAUGCUAUGGUGCCUGUUCUGCUUGACUAAGGCUUUCUGUAAAUUUGUUGAGGUUUUAAUAUUUGUGAAAAACCUGAACUUUGCUUGACUUGGUUUUGUGCUGAACCAAAUUUGUAACGAGAGAAGUCUCGCUUUGUAAAACUGUUUCUCUGAAUUGAGCUAAAAUUAGAUGUUUGAAUUCUAGCUGAUACCAGAGAUUUGAAUUCUAGCUGAUUUGUUUCUUGUGGAUCAAAGAGCUUUUUGGUUGCUUUAGUGUCUGAAGGUUUCUUGAGAUCAAUUGAUCUUUUUGAGUUUUUCAGUUGUGACUUUGAGAGUUUUUGUCUUGAUUGGUUUUUUGGCUGUCCUUUGAUCUGUUCACCUCUUCUCACAUUUAUAGAAAAUGCUGCGGUGGGUCUUUUAAUCUUUAAUAAUGAGCGGCAGAUCUUUCCAAAUUCUUUUUCUCUUUUCAAUGCCAUAAAAUAGGGAAGUUAUUAUUUUGGUAGAUUAGAACCAUCAACAAUCAGAUUUCAUGGAGGUCUUUUCCUUGCUUUUCUGAAAGAAAACCAACUCUUUUUAUUCCUUGUAAAAAAACACAAUCUGCCAUGAUAGUCAGUUUGCUUUUCCUGGUGAACAACUCCCCUGCUCCCUCUUAUCUCUUGAAAAUGUAGCUUAUCUCUUGGAAAUGUAAUCUGCUCUGGUGCAGAGUUUUUCUGCAGACUUGAUCUUCUUUUCCUGGAUACAGAGUGGAGAAGUUCUUCUGUAAGACUUGUCUUCAUUAACUCCCUCUCACUUCUUCUGUGAUAGUUGAAAAUUUUGACUUUUCUAAAACUAGAAAGUCACGUGGGGGUUCUUUUUGAUAAGAAAGAUCUGCUGACUUCCCUUUUCGGGACAGAGAUCAAGUGGUGAGAAUUUCUCAAAAGCUGGGCCCUUUGAACCAAAGUUGGGUUUAUCAGAUUUGUUUUCUAAAAUAAAGGAAAUUGGUUUUUAGAACUUGGUAAUACUUUGAAAACUGUCCAGAAAAUUGUAUGGGCGUUUAUUAGCACUUUGGGUUUCCAAUUUUAAUAGAUACAAAACCUAACUUUUUUUUUUUUUUUUUCUGUGGGUUUUUCAAAAAAAGGGGGCUGGUGUUCAAAAGUUUGGCCCAAACAGGUAUAAACAUAAAACUACAUUUGUCGACUCCCCAGUUCUUUUACUAGUUUUUUUUUUUUCUCUUAAUGUAUAAUUAAAAGAGUGUUUUUUAGCUUUGUUUUCUAGUUUUGUUUAACAUCAUUCGACUCUAAGGAGUCUGAUUAUUUCUGUCUGUAUUUCGUAAGGAGGAUAAUAUUGCUUAUCCUUCUUUUUAUCCAUACAAUGUUUCUAAUUAUUAAAAAAAAGGUGUGUUUCAUAUGAACUUUCAAAGCACUUAUCCACUUCAAAUAAGACACUUCUAGAGUGUUUCUUUUCUAGUAAGGUUGAGCUACAAUGACUUCUCCUAAAAUACCCCUAAAUGAAUGGAAUUGUACUUAACAGAAAGCCACCCUCAAAUCUGUUGGUAAUCCAUGCUUCUUUUCUAGCAUCCAGCACAUUUUUCUUACAGUAGUUUUUUGGGUCAGGUCUACCAAUUUAUCUUUUCUCUUGUUACACCAAAGAUCUUGCUUGUUCAAAAGACUUGUUCUCUGAUCUGUUUUUGAUUUUUCGUGGUAUGUCCCAAAUGAUUUUAACGGUCUGAAGUAGGAUUUGAUUACUUAUUUGUGUACUCAAAUUUCAUUGCUUUUUUUUGUCUGAUUGUUGGAAACGAACUUGGAGGUAUUUAUUAACUACGUUUAUCUACAACUUAUAGGAUAUGAAGAUGCUGAGGAACUCAACAAUGUUGAGGAAGAUGAGAGAGAUGAAAUUGGGGUUGAUAAUGGUGAAGAAGCAUUAGAUACAUAUGAUGGGCUUGAUUAAUUUCUCUCCAACCGGUUAUCUAUUGGAUCACUUUUUUUCUCUAUUUUUGGUUUCAUGACAUUUAUUUUUACAGUAAAUUAUGAGGCCUGCCUCCUUUUGUUGACUUAUAUCAUGUUUACUUGUUCAUAGGCUGAGGAUGGUGAAAUUUCUCUACAGUCACAUUCAUGUAUCCUUAUACCAUAACAAUCCAGUGUAUAUUUUUUAUUUGUGCGUGAUUUGAAUCAAAAAGUGAAUUUUUUUUGGGACUUCUUUACCCAUCCUUCGCGGCAAUGCAGUGAAUCAGCAAUGGCUGUUAGUUGAACGUAGAAUAAUUAAGCAUUCUUGUGAUUUGUUGUUUUUGUUUUUGGCAAUGAUAUUCCCUUAUUUUACUAAAAGUACAGCAAAAUAAACUUACUUAGUCUUGUGAGAAGAGAGAAUUUUGUGACCAAUUAAUGCUUUCCAUUGAAGGAUUGUUCUAAGCUCUGCAAAUUCUUGUGGAUUUCCUAUAUGUUUCUUAGAUCUUAACAUGGAGAAUACCUCAAGAACCCAUUUACAGGAGCUUUUUGGUAGUUUUAUCCUCAAGCAAGGGGUGAUAGAAUACAAGAUGCAGAUACGAGUGAUGAAGAAUACCAGAUUUAUGAGCAAGAUAGUGAUGACAAAUUCUCUGGUGAAAAUGAUUGCUAACAUCUCUAUGGUUCGUUCUAACUUCUGUCCUUCUUCUCUCUCUCUCUCUCUCUCUCUCUCUCUCUCUCUCUCUCUCUUCCAUGUUGAAACUGCAGGUUGUGCAAUAUGGACAUCAUUUCACAUGCACAAACAAGUUUUAUGCUUUACUUUUCGUGGCAGUAAAUUGCUCAUGGAAACUAGUCAAGAGGCCUUGCCUGCUAUAACAUGAAAGCUACACUAAGUACCAAUCAUGGGAGUUUGACCAUCAAUAUAGGCCACAGCUUUAGGAGGUUCAUCUUCUAAACGGGACAAUGUAAACCAAUGAGUUACAACUUGACAACAAUGACUAUGGCAUGGUUCCAAUAGAUACAACGACGGAGAAUAUGUACUUGCUUGAUGAGCCUAUGCAAGACUUCAGUUUCUUGUUCGACGAUAUCCUCGAAGGUGUUCCUUUUGAAUAUGCAAAACCACUCAACUCUGAACCUGCAACUCAGAGCACAGAAACAGGCGGGAAAAGCACUACUACUCCAACUGGUUAUCAUUAGAUUUGUGUUCUUAAGAUAAUGAUUGCUUUUUGCUUAGAUUUGCUGGGACAAAUUUUUCUAAUUAAAAUUUUCUAAUAGCCAAUUUCACUAUUUUGGACUAAAAGUAUUGUAAAGUGGCUAUAUGUUAUUAUGGGUUUUUUUCUUCAGUACAUUGUCUUAAACCGAACAUCAUCAUGCUGAUACGUGAAAGUAAAUUUAGAAUGAGUUUGAUCAUAUAUAAUUCAUUCUACUAAAGUUUACACGAAUAUCACCUGAACUAAUAGGAUUCUUUGCAUUUCUCACUAAAAAAGAAAAUGACAAUAUCACCUGAAACCAGUAGUUGUGGGUUGCUUUUCACACGUGACUACCUCAGUGAUUUUCUAACAAAAAAUACAAUAAAAUUAAAGGCAAGUAAACUAAGACAUGAAAGGCAAGCAAACUAUUUUAAUGGUUUUCAUCAUUUAAUCAAUCCUUAUUGCUAGGUCCAUCGUCACGAAAAAGUCUUCGUCUCAUAACAUUCCUUCGUUCUAGCUUCCAAAAUUGUUUUGUUUCAGGGGACAUAUGGCUUGAAUCUAUGGCCAUAGUUUCCCGAUCUUUUUUUUUCAAUGUUUUGUUUGCGUACAUACUCCCUUUCUUUUGCAUAUUCUAGUUGAAUAGCCAUAUCGUGCUCUUGUUGUUUCAAGUCCAUUUCAAUUCUCAUGGCUUGGUGCUUUGAAAGUUCCUCCAAAAAUUUAGAUGCAUUCUUGCUAGAAUUACUCCAUCUCUUCGCCUUCGCCGCCUUCCUCCCAAUAGGCCUUGGCUCCUUUUCAAUGGGUGGGUCUUAACUCAUCGGGGAAUCCAUAGGUGAAUCCGAUGACGGCGUCUCAUGGAGUGGAGUCUCGUUCAACACUACCGUUGGACCCGUUGGAAUAAUUUGGAAUCUCUUACAAGUCUUCACCACCUCCCAACAAUGGGUAUGGUUGAAACUUUUUUUCCCUUGCCCAAUAGCACCAAACCACAUUUGUGCGUGCAUAAUCUAUAAAGAAAAAAAAAUGGAAAUGCAAGAAACUUUAAAAAAUAUUGGCAAUGCAACAUGUAAAAAAAAAAAAACUAAUGCAAAUGCAAUAAAUUUUAAAAAAAUGCAACAUGUAUAAAAAAAACUAGAGAAAUAUUAACAAAAUAUAUAAAUUGCAAGAAACAUUUAAAUAAAAAUUAAUAUGACAUAGAAAUUAAUAGAACAAAAAUGACAAAUAAUUUACCUCACUGCUAAGGUUUUCUCCGCUUUUAUGGUUGUCCAUCGCUUUUGCCAAGGCAUUUCUCCAUUUUGCCAACUCUUUAUUAAGAAUUUUCCAACUACUAGAUAAUGCCAUUUCUGUACGUGUCGAACCAAUUGCCUUUUCACAAAAUGCUUGAUGAUUUUUUUUCCACAUAUGAGAAAAUUUAAUCUCAUUGCCCGUUACGGGACAAUGACUAACUUGGACCCAAGCCUCACACAAGCUAACAUCUUCCAUCAUGCUCCAUGCCCCUCUAUUUUCAGUAGAAGAACCCAUAAUAUGAUAGAGAAAAAUACAACUUGAAAGUGAAACAAUAUUGAGUAGAAAGUGAAUAAUAGUAGAAGGAGAAGAAAAUGUAAGAGGAUUUGGUGUUAAAAGUGAAGAGUAUUGGUUGGUAUUUAUACAAAAAAAAAAUUCAGUAAUUUUUGUAUAUUUUUUUGAAAAAAUUUCGAUUUUUUUUCAUUUUUGUAUUGCAGAAAAAUUAUCUGCCGUUGGAUUGAAGGAAAAAAUCGAAUGGGAGAGCCAAUAGGCCGACACAUGGAAGGUAGCCGUUGGCGGCUACUGUAGCGCGUCGUUUCAAAUUUUUUUUAACGUUGGUGCGUGCAAUGCACGCUCCAACGGUAAAAAAAGUUUGAAAGCUGAAGGGCUGACGCCACAUCACCGCCCUUGGGCUCUUGCUCCGGCCAAAUUCCACCUCGGGCCAGCCCAAUCUCGUGGCCCCCACCUCUUGCCCGGACUGCCUUUUGUUGCUGAAAACCCAUUUUUCUCCCAAACCCUCCCAGCCCGAGUCCAGCCUUAGCUGCUAAACUCGGGCUUGGGGGGGGGGGUUUGGGAAAAAAAAAUGGGUUUUCAGCAGCAGAAGGCAGCUCGGGCAAGAGGUGGGGGCCACGAGACUGGGCUGGCCCGAGGUGGAGUUCGGCCCGAGCAAGCGCCCGAGGGCGGUGAUGUCAUGGCUGACACCAGGUUGGCGUUAGCCCUCCAGCGUUUGAAUUUUUUUUUACCAUUGGCGCGUGCAUUGCACGCGCCAACGUUAAAAAAACUUUCAAACGACGCACUACAGUAGUCACCAACGACUACAUUCCACGUGGCGCCCUAUUGGCUCUCCGAUUCUUUUUUUUCCUUCAAUCUAACGGCAGCCAAUUUUUCGGCAAUAAAAAAUUAAAAAAAAUCGAAAUUUUGUUUAAAAAAUACACAAAAAAUACUAAAUUUUUUUUGUAUAAAUACCAACCAAUACUCUUCACUUUUAACACCAAAUCCUCUUACAUUUUCUUCUCCUUCUACUAUUAUUCACUUUCUCCUCAAUAUUUAUUCACUUUCUACUCAAUAUUUUUUCACUUUUAAGUUGUAUUUUUCUCUAGCAUAUUAUGGGUUCUUCUAUUGAAAAUGUAGGGGCAUGGAGCAUGAUGGAAGAUGUUAGCUUGUGUGAGGCUUGGGUCCAAGUUAGUCAUUGUCCUGUAACGGGCAAUGAGAUUAAAUUUUCUCAUAUGUGGAAAAAAAUUCAUCAAGCAUUUUGUGAAAGGGCAAUUGGUUCUACACGUACAGAAAUGGCAUUAUCCAGUUGGUGGAAAAUUCUUAAUAAAAAGUUGGCGAAAUGGAGAAAUGCCUUAACAAAAGCGAUGGACAACCAUCGAAGAGGAGAAAACCUUAGCAGUGAGGUAAAUUAUUUGUCAUUUUCGUUCUAUUAAUUUCUAUGUCAUAUUAAUUUUUUUUAAAAUGUUUCUUGCAAUUUAUAUAUUUUGUUAAUAUGUCUCUAGUUUUUUUUUUUUUUUUACAUGUUGCAUUUUUUUAAAAUUUAUUGAAUUUGCAUUAGUUUUUUUUUACAUGUUGAAUUGCCAAUAUUUUUUAAAGUUUCUUGCAUUUCCAUUUAAUUUUUUUUUAUAGAUUAUGCAAGCACAAAUGUGGUUUGGUGCUACUGGGCAAGGGAAAAAAAGUUUCAACCAUACCCAUUGUUGGGAGGUGGUGAAGACUUGUAAGAGAUUCCAAAUUAUUCCAACCGGUCCGACGGUAGUCUUGAACGAGACUCCACUUCAUGAGACGCCGGCAUCGGAUUCACCUAUAGAUUCCCUGAUGAGUCAAGACUCACCCAUUGAAAAGGAGCCAAGGCAUAUUGGGAGGAAGGCGGCGAAGGCGAAGAGAGGGAGUAAUUCUAGCAAGAAUGCAUCUAAAUUUUUGGAGCAACUUUCAAAGCACCAAGCCAUGAGAAUUGAAAUGGACUUGAAACAACAAGAGCACGAUAUGGCUAUUCAACUAGAAUAUGCAAAAGAAAGGGAGUAUGUACGCAAAGAAAGGGAGUAUGUACGCGAACAAAACAUUGAAAAAAAAGAUCGGGAAACCAUGGCCAUGGAUACAAGCCAUAUGUCCCCUGAAACAAAACAAUUUUGGAAGCUAGAACGAAGGGAUGUUAUGAGACUAAGACUUUUUCGUGACGAUGGAGCUAGCAACAUGGAUUGGUUAAAUGAUGAAAACUAUUAAAAUAGUUUGCUUGCCUUUCAUGUCUUAGUUUACUUGCCUUUGAUUUCAUUGUAUUUUUUGUUUUGUUUAAUUCAUGUAUUUUAUUUUAUUAGUUGUAUUGCUUUUCUUUUAGUGAAUAAAGAAAAUAUUCAACAAAAAUCUUUUUUAUUCAAAACAUUCCAUACAUAAAAAACAAACCACAACCAAAGCAUAAAAAAUAAACAAACCACAACCAAAGCAUAAAAAAUAAACAACCCACAACUAAAAAUAAUAAAGCAUAAAAAAAACAAAGCAUAACUAAAAAUACAACAUAAACAUAAUAAAUUAAAAAAACAUCUUCACUUCACUUCAUUCACCUUCAUUGCCUUUCACCGCCCAUAAAUGCUCCAUCAAGUCAACUUGACGUUGUUCAUGAAUAUACGACGAUUGCAUCUCCGUGUAGCAAUCAAUCAUACGGGGCAUGAAACUACUGUCUCUAACCAACGGUUCAUGCUGCACUGGUUCUCCAUUUGGCCCCACUGGUUUUUCAUAAAUUCGUGUUAGGGCCGUGUUCAUGGGAUUUGGUUCAUGCACUUCAUCAGCAUCGUAAUCAUAUUCAUCUUCCACAAUCAUGUUAUGGAAGAUGAUACAAGUCAUCAUUAUACUCCUAAGCACCUCCUCGUCAAAUAGACGUGCCGCGCCCUUGAUAAUAGCCUACCGGGCUUGAAGGAUACUAAAGCACCUCUCAACAUCUUUUCUGUACCCCUCUUGAUAGUGAGCAAAAAAAUUUUGCUUAUGGGAUCGGGGAUGUGGAAUUAUUUUCACAAAUAUUGUCCACCUCGGGUAGAUGCAAUCAGCUAGAUAAUACCCGUUCCGGUAGAUGGUACUGUUGAUUUCAUAUGUGAUAUUUGGGGCUUCACCUCUCAAAACAUCAUUGAACACCGGGGAUUGACCUAGGACAUUCAAAUCGUUUGAGAUCCGGCAACUCCGAAGAAGGCGUGCCAAACCCAUGUAUCAAAACCAAUAACUGCUUCCAGGAUGAUACUUUUCUGCCCUUUUCUAUUUCCGUAAUCCCCUUGCCAAGCAGUUGGACAAUUUUUUCACUGCCAGUGCAUGCAGUCAAUGCUACCAAUCAUGCCAGGAAAUCCUCGAGACUCAGCUUUUUGGAGAAGCCGUUGCAGGUCCCUGGGCGUAGGUCUGCGUAGGUAGUCUCUGGUGUACAGAGUUUCCACUGCAUCACAAAAUCGCACCAAGCUCUCCAAAACAGUGGACUUCCCCAUCCGGGCAAUCUCAUCCACCUGAUCAGCAGAUAACCCAUAUGCCAACAUUCGUAUCACAGCUGUGAACUUUUGCUCUGGAAGAAGUCCCAAAUUUCCAGCACAAUUUCUCUUUUGAACAAAAUAUUCAUCAUAAUUGCAAAUAUCAUGCAUGACUUUAUUGAACAAAUAGGGUUGCAUUCUAUAUCUCCUUUGAAAAUGAAUAUCAGAGUACAGAGAUUGUGGGAUAAAAUAAUCUUCCAUAAGAUUCUUACCCGGAGAAUGUCUAUGUCUGUCCACAUUUGGGCCACGGCCUUCUCGUGAACCAUGGCGACUCUGGUUUUCUUCCUCCAGCAAAGCAACUGCUAUGCCAAGUUGCUCAUCUAGUUCUCUCUGCACCCUUUUGCUUGCAACUCGUCUACGCAUUCUUUCUUUAGUUUCUCGCUCUUGCCUCUCCAAAACCUCUUGCAUGUCUGCCAUUGAGAAUGGAGAAUGAAAUCUAAAAUAUGAGAAAUGGAAAUGUAGAGAAGAACUGGUGUGGGAGGUAUGAGCUGAAACUCUGGUUUUAUAGAAAAAUGUAGACAGAUAGAUAUGACACGCGACGCAAUCUUAGAGGGUGAAAAUCUUAUCUGAAAUUUGAAAUUUAAAAUUUAUCUGAAAUUUGAAUUUCGAAAUGUAUCUGAAAUUUGACAUUUUGAAUUUAUCUGAAUUUUGAAUUUUGAAAUUUAUCUGAAAUUUGAAACCGAAAAUCUUAUCCGAUAUGAAUAGUAUUGACACGUAGGAACUCAAAAAUUUUAUCUGAAAAUAUUAUCCAAAUUAAUUGUUUAAGUAAACAAAGUUGUGAAAAAAAUAAAAAAAUGAAUAAUAUUUGUCAUGGCAAGCCUGAACUGCUGGAAACACACUUUGCUGGGGGGAUAGGGCAGCCACUAUUCACGUGAAUAGUAGCUGCCCUAAGGCUUCUAAGGGGCUAACCGGUGAAAAUGCUCUUAAGGGAGUUUCUUUGAGCGAAAAUUCAAGUAUCGUUGCAUCAACUUGUUGGACGGUUAGAUUUGAAUUAUUUGAUCCCAUGGCCCAGAAUAAAUUGUGAAAAAAAACCAAUGAAAGCACCUAAAAUACUGGGAAACCGGUAGUUGUGGGUUGCUUUUCACCUCAGUGAUUUUCUAAUUACUCCAUCUCGACCCUUCAUCUCCAUCCCCAUCGCCAGCAGCCCUCCGAAUCACCCGGUAGAUGUCAGUGAUGAAGAAACUGACAUCUGCUAAAUUCAACAAUCAUAAAAUGCUAAUUAAUAAGAAAUUCGAAGUUGGAAUUUUUUUGGUUGUUUGAGUUAUCUGGAAAAAGAAGAAGAGGGAGACAGAUGAAGAGAGAGAACUAGCGAAAAAAAAAAAAGGAGCCUGGGAAGGAAGAGAAAAAGAGGAAGAAAAAAACAAAAAUACCUGGGAAGGGAAGAAGAAGAAACAAAGGAGGUGAAGAGGAAGAAAAAAGUAAAAAAUGCGAAUAGAAACCUCACUGCUUUCUCCUUUAUAAAAUUGUUUAUCUCAAUAAAAAAAUUUAUUGCAGACUUAAAAGAACGUGAAAAUAAGUUUUUUUUUAUAUUUUCUUUUAAAAUUGUUAAAAAUGCAUUGAUAAUUAGCCGCAAAAGGACAAUGAAGAAGAGAAAUUGUAAUAAGAAUAGAGAAAUCAUUGUGCCCUUACGUGGAAUAAUUUGUCUUUGGCGCACCCGCUACACUCAGGUUGUCUUUAUAGUAUUCGUACCUACUAAACGUGGUUGACUAAGUCAAUGUGAAGGCAAGUAAGUAUAGAGUCCGAAAGGGCGGCGUAAGAAAACUGGACGGAAGCUGUCUUUAUAAGGAAGGCAAGUAAUUUAUACACACCCUCUCAACAAAACCAUGGCUGAAGUUGCAUUUCCUUUGGCAGCCAAACUCAUUGAAAAGCUCGGGUCCAUUGCUUCUGAGCAGAUCUCCUUGGCAUGGAGCGUUAAAGCUGAUCUGAAAAAGCUUCAGCGCACAAUGUCCACCAUCAAAGAUGUCCUCUUGGAUGCCGAACAGAAGCAAGCUCAUAACCAGCAGAUACGCAGUUGGCUACGACAGCUUAAAGACGUAUUUCUUGAUGCCGAUGACUUGUUGGAUGAGUUUGAGUGCGAAGCUUUGCGGAGGGAAGUGGUGGAAACAUUUCAUGGCACAACUGGAAAGGUACGCCGUUUCUUCUCUCGUUCUAAUCCAAUUGCAUUCCGUUUGAGAGUAGGUCAUCAAAUCAAGGAGAUUCGAGAGAGGUUAGAUGAGCUCAAGUCCAAUAAGGCUAUAUUUGAUUCUCUCACUAGUAUUGAUCAUCAUGGAAGUGGUGGUGAUCAUCAUGAAAGAGUGAAUGUGACCCACUCCUUCGUUCGUGCUUCAAAGGUUAUUGGUAGAGAGUCUGAGAAGAAACAAAUUAUAAAUCUCUUGAUGGAACAAGGUGAUGAUAAUCAAAGUGGGAAUGGGAAUGUCUCUGUUAUUCCUAUAGUGGGGAUUGGAGGUUUAGGGAAGACCACGCUUGCCAAGUUGGUGUACGAUGAUGAAAGGGUCUGUUUCGAAAAGAAGAUGUGGGUGUCUGUUUCAGUGGACUUUGAAAUUACCAGAUUGAUAAAGAUGAUUCUUAGUUCUGCAUCAGAUACAGAGAUGAGUGAUAAAUUGACUCUGGAUCAGUUGCAAGGAAGGCUGCGUCAUGCUUUAAAGGAUAAGAAAUUUUUGCUUGUUUUGGAUGAUGUUUGGAAUGAGGAUCGUAUUAAAUGGAGUGAGUUGAGAGAUUUAUUGAUAGAGGGAGCCAAGUCAGGAAGUAAGAUUUUAGUGACGACAAGAAAUACCUGGGUUGCGGAGAUGAUGGGUACCAUUCCAACAAACAUUAAUUUACAAUUUCUUUCGUUUGAGGAUUGUUUGUCUUUGUUUGUAGAAUGUGCUUUUAAAGAGGGACGUGAUAAAGACUAUCCUAACCUCUUUGAAAUGGGAAAGGAUAUUGUUAGAAAGUGCGGAGGGGUUCCAUUGGCAGUGAAAACUUUAGGGAGUCAACUACACUCAAAGACUGAUGAACGGGAAUGGAAAUUGGUGAGAGAUUCUGAGAUAUGGAAAUUAGAACGGGAAGGUGCUAGUCACAUUUUACCUGCUUUGAGAUUGAGUUAUACCCAAUUGCCUCCUCAUUUGAGACUGUGUCUUGCUUAUUGUUCCCAUCUACCAAAGGAUCAGUUUCAAUUUAGUUCUUUUCAUUUGAUCAGAUAUUGGAUGGCACAUGGAAUCCUUGAUCAGUCUCGUUUUCAUGGGAAUAUGGAGUUGGAAGACAUCGGAGAGCUGUAUUUUAAAGAUUUAUGCGCGAGAUCCUUCUUUCAAAACGUUAAUGAUCGUAAUAUAUAUUGCAGAUUUGAUAUGCAUGAUCUUAUCCAUGAUCUUGUGCAAUCAAUUGCACAAGGCGAGUGUUUUACAGUGAAGUCUGCAAACACCAAAGACAUAUCUGAAAAUGUUAGACAUUUGACAGUUUUGGAAGCUGGCCAUAAUGUUUCAACAACCUUGCAAAAGUUGAACAAAGUGCGGACUUUAAUAUCUGCGCAAACAAAGAUUGAUGAAUCCUUCAUGCGCACUUGCUUUUCAGGAUUCAAGUAUUUGCGAGUGCUUCAGUUACCUACAUGUUCAUUACAAGUGUUGCCAAGUUCCAUUGGUUCCUUGAAACAUUUGAGAUAUCUGGGCAUUAGUUUUAAUGAAGCAAUAACAAAACUCCCCAGUGCAAUUUGCAAGUUGCAGAGCUUGCAAACCCUACGGUUUUUGGGAUGUGACAAUCUUGAAGAAUUGCCCAGAGAUAUAAGCAAAUUACUUAGCCUCACAUCACUUGAAUUAACCACAAAACAAACAAGUUUUCCCAAGAAUGGGGUGGGAUGCUUGAAAUCACUUCGAUUUCUUGGUAUUGUCAAGUGUAGUAAUUUAACAUCUUUGCCGCGUGAAACGAGCUAUCUUGCUUCCUUACAGACUCUGUGGAUAGUAGAAUGCAAACAACUAGAUUUGGGGAAAGUAAAUUACCAAGGACCUCAAUUGAGGCUCCAAAAAUUGUUUAUUCGCGAUGUAUCACGGAUGGUGGCAUUGCCUGAAUGGUUUCAAAAAGCGGCUAACACCCUUCAAGUCUUGGUUAUUAGAAUGUGUGAGAAUUUGGAGGCAUUACCUGACUGGUUGGAAAAUUUCACAUCACUCACAAAGUUGGUCAUUAGUUCAUGUCAGAAACUGUCGUCUCUACCAGAGGGGAUACGUUCUCUUACCUCCUUACGCUUAAGAGAACUUGUGAUUGAGGAUUGUCCUAAAUUGGAGAGGAGAUGCUAGCGCGACAUUGGAGAAGAUUGGCCCAAGAUUUCUCAUGUGCCACAUGUUUCCUUUCACGUCCUCGAUUAAUUUCUCGAUAUAUAAUAGAUGCGAACAAGGUGAAUCCUCUCACGUGUUUGUUAUGUACUAAUUUCUAGUUUCUUUCUUCAGUUGUCUCAGUAUUUCUUUCUUUCCCCUUGUUUGUUUGUUGUGUUGUGUUUUAUUUAGUUUGGAUUGUGUCAUGCUUAGAUCAAUUUGAUUUUAUUUUAUUCAAGUUGUGGGGUGGACGAUCAAAAAUAAAAGUUGUGGACAUGCGUGGUGUGUUGUCUUGUGACGCUUGUUAAUUCCAAUAUUGUAUACAUGCAAUGUGAGGAAUGAUUUCAUCCAUAACAUCUUCUCAAACUACCGCAAUAUUAUGAUAAUCUUCAAUUAUUUGUUUGUUUAUUUAUUAUUAUGAGGUGUCUCCUCAGCUACAUCAAAAGUUUUGGUGGCUUUACAUUCGAAUAUAUAACUCUUGUCAUCAGGCUGCGAAAACAGGAAUACAAUCAGGUUGGCACUGAUUAUUAAAUCCAUUAAAUUUUACUCCCAUGAUUAAGGAAUUCUUAGGGGAAAAAAAAAAAGAAAAAAAAAAGGGGGUGGGCCUGCAGCUAUUGCCGAGGAAUGAUGCAAGCCACAGAUGUUGAGAGCCAGAUCCUCAUACUAAAAUUUUCAUUUUUCAUUUUUUCUUAUCAUUCUUUCUCAUUCAUCACACAUACAUUGCACUUUAAUCCCAAAAUAUAGACAUAUGAAAUGAAACUAAAUUUAUAUAAUUAGAGAUAUCUGCCAAUAGCUUUGUCCCUUUUAGAUCCAUCACUUAUUUUUGUCAACAAAUUGCCCCUUUCCUACUGACCCAUAGCCCAAAACCUUUAUAACAAAAUUCCACGUAGCCCUAUCCUCAGAAUUGUUCAAGCCCUAUGUUUUGGGUCAUACUAAAACGUACCAUUGGAUAUUGGAAUCCUUCAAUCUCAAUCAUGAGAAUAUGGAGGUAGAAGAUGUCGGAGAGCUAUAUUUUAAACAGUUAUGCGAGAGAUCUUUCUUUCAGAAUGCAUGUGAUUUAAGUACGCACUUUGAAUUUGAGAUGCAUGAUCUUAUUUACGAUCUUGUACAAUCUGUUGCACGAGGUGAGUAGUUUGAAGUGAACUCUGCAAACACCAAAGACAUAUAUGAAAAUGUUAGACAUCUGAGAUUCUUGGAAGUUGGCCAAAUUGUUUCAACAACAUUUCAAAUUUUGGCAUACUUAAUGAGAAGGCCCUGACUUGGAAUUGAUUGAAGGUAAAUAAUAACUUUGUAUAACAUUAUAAUGUUAUUUAUGCUCCCACAUUUCUCCAAGAACAUAAUAUAAUUAUUAUUUUUGCAUUAUCUUAGAUCUUGGUCAUGUCGACUCUACAUCUUAAACUAGUAUAAACUCUCUUUCUCAAGAAAGUAAUAUAAAAUUUUGUAAUGGCCAAACUUAAAAAAGAAAAAAGAAAAAAUUAAUGAACCUUUUUUUUGGGGUCCUGUGCCUGUGGUGAACAAAAUUGAAGUGACAUGUAUAUGUUCCUCACACCACAUAGUGUUUAUAGCAUUUAUAUGUUCCAAGUUAGUAAACAUGCGCCUAAACCACAGUGAAAUAAUUGAAAUUAAUUCAUAGCAUAUGGGUUCACUUAUCUGGAAGAAGUAUUGAAAUAAUUUCAGUUUUUAGAAAUUAUCGAGAUAAGGGACAUGUUUCACCAUGGUUUUCUUAGAAACAAAUGUAUAUGCCUCAAACAAUUGAAAUUUUUAUCUCAUGUUUGUUUUCACUUGGUUCUAGUUUUAAGUGGGACUGUUAAUAUUGGCCCCACCAAAAAUACCUCCUUAAGUGUUCUUAGUGAAAGCCCUUUGGAAAUGGAGGACUAAACAGUCCCGACCCAGGCGCCAUCCACAACCACCGAUGACCCAAGCACCUCCAAACCCCCAUCGUCACAACAAUACGCAGCAACCCUAAUCCACCAUCGCAGCCACACGGUUCCAGUCAGUUGUUGGAUUCAUUUUUAUACAUGAUUUAUCAUGUCAUUCACCUAAUAUUUUGAGUUAGUUCUUGACAUUUUAUAGCAUUUUACUUCAUUUUUGUGUUUUUAUAAAUUUUAUCUUGGUUAGAAUGAAAUUGAGCUAAAAAUGCUUUAUUGGAUAUAAAUUCUAUUUUUGCUCAUUUUCUUAGGUUAACUUCCUGGCUAUGGAUCACCAUACUCCGUUGUCCGGAUGCGGUGAAGUUCUUCACAAAACUUGUUUCAAUGGGUGUCGACAAUAACAUAUCUGAAAUUGAGCGCCAUUGAACAAGUAUAGCCUAUCCAACCGAUCCAGCAUUGACCCUAACUCUGGAAUUGUGGUUUGGACCACAUUUACCUCAAUUGGAUGUCACCCCUACCACACCACUUGGUAACAAUGUUUCACUUAGAUAAGCUGAAAUCUCUCUCAAUAUAUUGAAAGUCAAAGAAAUGAUGAAAGUGAAGACAGGUGGAGAGAAAAGACAAAGAACUUCGGGUGAAAGGUGAAGCAUCCUAUAAAGUAAUAAGUAGGAAGAGGUAUCUAAGGGGCAGCAGCUAAGGAAGCUGGGUGACUUCUCUGCACUUUGCAAUUUCAGAUUUUUAGAGAAGGAGGGGAGAAUGGCAUAACAAUUGGAGAGAACCUUGGGGAGCCUUGAGGCAAGGAUUCAAGGGGUUGAAGAUGCAAUUCUCUUUCUCCUCCUUGUUCUUAGUUUCUUUCAUUUCAUUUCCUUCUUGUAUUUUCUUCGUUUCAAUGUAACUUAUUAUUUUUCCUAGGGCUUAGAUUGAAGCCCUAAACAUGAUCACACUUUUGUUUUGAUGCUUUGAGUUUAUGGAUUUUUAGAUGUUGUUGAUGAAUUCCUUUUCAGUAAUUGAAUCAUAUGCUAUGUGUUUGCUUCCUGUGAUUGAUCACCUUAUGUUGUAUGUAUCUAGCUAAAGUUGAGAAGUUGUGUAAGAUACCCAAGAACAUAAUUUCUAAUUAGCAACAAAUAAUUGAAUCCUUUCUAAGAGUGAGCAUCAUGUGAAUUGGUUUCUUGACAACAAUUGAUGAAUUCCUCUUUACUAAAAUAAUUUAUCCUUGAUGUAUGUUUUUCUUUGAUUGAUCACGUUUGAAAGCAUGCUUCUUGAGGUUGUGGGGAUUAUAUGUACCCUCAUGUUUUCCUAAGCAACAAAUGGAUGAAGUAAGAAUCAUCCAUGUGAAUUAGUUUCUUGAAUGCCUAAUGUAAACACCAUACUAUUAAGGUUCUUGUGAUGUUCAUAUUCUCUUCAAACUUUAUGAGUUUUUCAUAUGAUUAAAUCGAAGCACUAAGCUCACCUAGAUUGAUUUUAUGGGACGCACGAGUAUUGUAGCACUAGACCCACACUUCACUUAUACUAGAGAGAAUCAUGCAUAUCUUGAGCCACUAGCCCCGAACUUGAAUGCGAAUAUCUUCAUCAAUGUGUCUAUAGUUUAUGUUCUUUGAGUAUUGAGUAUUGAUUGCGAACAUCUUUAUCAAUGUGUCUAGAGUUCAUUUCAUAUGAGUAUUCAAUAACAUGAGUAAAAGUGUAGGGAUGACUUCCAAGUGUUCUACUUUUAGUUGUCCUAGAUUACAUUUGAGUUGUAUGACAUUGUAAUUUUGUUUUUCUUUCUUUUUCGUUUCUUAUUUUCACUAGGAAAAUCAAAUGGAAUUAGGCAAUCCAAUCCCCAUGGGAUUGACCUCUCACUUACAUAAGCUUUAUUGCCAACGGUUCGUGCACUUGCGAGUAUAAUGUGUGUUUGAAAUAAUCUCUGUUUUGUGGUUUUCUAAAACAUGACAACACCAGUUUCGACGAGCACCAUAAGAUUUGACUUCCAUUCAAAACUCAGUGACAGGACCUGCCCCAAAUUCCCUGAAACCCGAGACGAAUCCUGUGAAAAUUUCAACAUCACCUCGAUGCUGGGCCCACUUACUAAAGACCGAGACUUUCUACCAAAAUUUUGGCAGAGUCUCCCCUAUAAUUUGAACAAUCCUAAAAAUUUCAAUAUGCAUAAAACACAUUUAAUAUCCACAACUGGCAGCAUGCACAAUGUAUCAACAUGCAAUUCACAUAAACGGCCUCUGGCCUUCAAAUAAUCCAAAGCAAAUCACCAAUAAAGCCAAUAAGUCAAACAAUUACCUUAAGCAAGACAAAUAAUAAAUUUAACCAUAAAUUUGAAUGCCUAAAUGCACUUUACAUCAUCUAACUUUACCAACUAUCCCACAUGCGAGGUUUUGACCUCUUAAUACAACAACAAGUAGCUUAAGGCCUUAGCCCAAAUUGUACAUCAAUCCUAAAAGGGUCUUUUAUACCCGUCUUGACCAGAACACAUUUACACGAUCCUUCCUCAGCCAAACGGGAGUAUGAACAAUUAUUUACUCGCAUCUAGUUUUCAACCGAAUUUUCAGGACCAACGACAGGGUCAGAACCAAUCUCAAUAAAACAACAUAUUAGUGGACAAUAAUUGAAUAAUUCCUUCAUAGAGAUAGAGGACAUAAUUCACAUGGAUAUAGUAAAUCUCGCUUGGGCUGCUUUAGUCCGCAGCUGCACCUAUGCACUACCCUAGGCUGCCUAUAUACCCUUAUUCAGGGAUCAAGCCACACGUAGUUCUUUCCAACAAAAAUCUUGGUUCCAAUAAUAUACAAACCAUUACAGCCAUAUAAAUUAAUACAUUCUAGAAUUAUUCCUUUCCCUUUUCCCUUGAAUCACAUCCUACCAAAGUACAAUCCUUUAUUCAUCCCUCCUGUAAUCACACAAUCUCCCCAUACGCUGAAAAUCCAACGCCGCGUAUGGGGUCUGUCUCAUACGCCAGAAGAAUCCCACGUCGCGUGUGAGACCUAAUAAUCACAUAAUCUCCCCAUAUGCCGAAACAUCUAACGCCACGUAUUGGGUCUGUCAACACGUCGGAAAAUCCUUUGCCACGUAUGACCUAACCAUCACAUAAUCUUCCCAUACACCAGAAAAUUCAACGCCACGUAUGGGGUCUGUCAACACGCUGGAAAAUCCUAUGCCAUGUGUGACCUAAACAUCACAUAAUCUUCCCAUACGUUGGAAAAUCCAAAGCCACGUAUGAGGUUUGUCAACAUGCCAGAAAAUCCUACGCCACGUGUGACCUAACCAUCACAUAAUCUCUCCUUACGCUGGAAAAUCCAAUGCCACAUAUGAGGUCUGUCAACACGUCGGAAAAUCCUACGCCACGUGUGACAUAAUAAUCAUAUAAUAUGUAUCCCGAAUAAUUAUAACUCUCAAUUAUCCAAACUAAUAAUAGAGAUAUUCCCAACUUAGUAAUACCAGUCUAUAGUAGACUUCAACGUAAUUUAAUCAAUGAAAAUAAUAUUAUUUUUAGACCAACGAUCAUGCACAUAAACAUAAAUUUUAUAAAGAUUCUAGAACAAUUUAAAUAUUAUUCAACGCUUGUUUUCACACAAAUUUCAUAAAAUACUGUACCCACAACUAGAACAUUAUUUAUAAUCAAAUAAUAUUAAUUAAUGAUAAGCAACAACCUUUAAGGAAAAUCCUAAAUCGAAUCAAUUUCCAAUUUAACCUAAAAUAAUAAUUAAGAUUCGAUAAAAAUGUUAUCCUAACACCUUCCGAAUGGUGAAACUAUCUCAGAAGACUCACGGACAACCGAGGGGUCAACUACCCAAACUUGGUCAAACAGGCCCACAACCUCCAAAUUCUGAUCCAAAAGUUCAUAUGGGUUCUACAAGGUUUAGGAUACAUGUCCCGCAAGUUUGGUCCCGAUCAAACGGUCGAAUCGCUCGCGAUCGCACAAUCGGAAGGUUAUUGUAAAACACAAACUUCAAGUUAUUAAAUCGAAACAUCUGGGCCUUCGAUUCACGUUCUGUGAAUUCCUACACGAUCCUAGAAAUGCCUAGAUUAACAUAUAUUAACUAUACGAUCCAACGAUUCAAACCUAUCGAACCCAGACAACACACAAUAGGCAAAAUCCGUUCGAUACUCAAACGGUAUCCAAAUUGAAAUCCGACCACCCUUAUAUGCUCGUGAGAACCUGGGGAUCACAUCGGGGCAAAUGCCCCUUUUCUAUAGUGCCCACGCGCCGCCACAUGCACCGGCAGUGCGUGGGUGUCCAAAGCAAUAACCUUUAGCUCGAAAAUCUCAAAAUCUGGGGCCAAGACUUCUAUCCUAGGUAAAACACCAUAUUUGGAGUCACUUUUGUUCUUGGGCCUACCACAAAAAGUGAUCAGAAGUGGUCGGAAUUAGAGGCCGAAACCAGCCAAAACUUCCAUCGCUUAUUUAACCACCAAAAUGCAGAAAUUGAUCCUAAGUAGCACAACCAGCAGCUAGAACACAUUAAAAGGAUGAGAAAGCAUACCUAGAUCACAAGAUUUGGUAGCCGGAAUCACCGGAACGAGCUCCGAAAAAUCUCGACUGAUCAAAGGACUCGAUCUUGGCUGAUCAGAGGGCUUGAUAUUGGUUGAUCAGAGAAAUUGACCUUGGUUGAUCAGAGGACUUUAUCUUGGCUUAUCAGAGGACUUUAUCUUAGUUGAUCAGAGAACUUGACCUUGGCUAAUCGAAGGCCUUGAUCUUGGCUGUUCGAAGGACUCGAUCUCGGCUGAUCGGAUGACUCGAUCUUGGCUGGUCUAAGACCUUGAUCUUGGUUGAUCAUAGGACUUGACCUUGGCUGAUUGAAGGACUUGACCAUGGCUGAAUUUUAGACCAUAACUAAACACCCACUUCAGAAGUUCCAAAUGUUCCGACUUUAGAAGUCAGAUGUUUUCAACUCGUUGCUGGAAGUUGGGUUUGGACUAGUAAGUUCUUGGUCUAAAUUAUGGUGGAACAUCGUGCAUCUAAAGCUAUAGAAUUUAUUGAAGAUUAAACGACGUGAGGUGAUUUAGCCGUUUGGCACCUUGAGCCGCCAAUUUGUAUUUUGGCCUAUUGGUUUUCCAAGAAGCGUGGUCGGAUUUCGACCAAGCUCAAGCAGCCUUAAAUAAAAAUUUAAGAGAAAUGUCACUUUAAUUUUUCAAAAUCCAUGAUUUGUCAUCUGACUUUAACACCAUCCAAUUUUUCAUCCAUUUUAAGGGUAUUUUAGUCUUUCCAUUUUCAAGGGUAUUUUUAAAAUGGAAAAAUCAUUAUAUAAAAAAUUGUAUAUCUUUUAAACAAUUAAAAUGAAAAAAAAAUUAAAAUUCUCAGCUUGCCCCAUCCCCUGUGUGCCACCAGAGGCUCCAAAUAACCCCGCCCACUUUGAAAUCCAUUCACCCUUCCCUCUUCCCCUUCCUACUUCUCUCUUUACCAUGGAACACCUAGCCUCCAUAAACAAAUUCCCUUUGCCCACCCAAACCGAGUCCACCUUCUUCUUUUUGAAAAUUUUUGACAUGCUCAAUGAGCACUGUAAAAAAAUAAUAAUAAUUAUACAUGCUCAGAGAAAAAGAGAGAAGAGGGGAAGGGGGGCUCAUGUGCGAUGUGUUUUAGAGGUGGGUGGGGUUGGGGUGGUGGAGAAGGGAAGAGAUAGAUAUCUGUUUUUUCUAGAAAAAUGGAAAGACUAAAAUACCCUUAAAAAUGAAUGGAAAAUUGGAUAAUGUUAAAGUCAGAUGAUAAAUCAUGGAUUUUCAAAAAUUAAGACGAUAUUUCUCUUAAAUUUUUCAUUAAGGUGAUAAAUUGAAACUGAGGUAUAAGUUCACGUGACAUUUCUACAAAAAUCCCUAUAUAUGAUGUAAAUUUGGAAGCAAUAAAGGGGAAUAAAAGUAAAAAAAAUAAAUUAAAAUACCAAAACCAAACCUAAAGAACAAACAAAGAAUAAUAAUAUGUACUUGAAUUUCAGCAUGACUUGUACUUUACUAGAGGGAACUUCCGUUCUUUUAUUGGAAUGGAAAUGGAACUUGAUGGAUUGAAACUAUUCCUGAAAAAGAUUGUGACGGUUCAAAUAAAGGCGUAUCUUUCUUAAAUAGAGAGUAUGCCAAUUGCUUCAUCAGCUUGGCUUUUAAAGCUGCAAUUUUUAAUCCAUCCAUUUUGAUAUAUUUAUUUAUUUAUUUAUUUACACAAUGAUAUCCUAAACUACUCUAAUGUACGAGGGGAUCGAACUCUGGUGUAAAGGGGUAGGUAGACUGCAUUGGUUAACUAACCUAACUCACGCAUGCUUGCAAAGUAGGCUUCUAUCUAAUUUUGAGUGUAUUUGGGUGUAUUCAAGUAAGUUUAUGCUAUAUCUGUAAGUGUCUAUAAAGAUUGACAUUUGUGAAAUUAUCGACAUAAGGCCAUGUUUCACCAAUGUUCUCUUAGAAACCGAUAUUAUAUGCCUCUAAUGGUAAACAAAGAAAGGCAUUACUUAAGUUUGACAUCAAAGAACAGACGCUGAGUGCCCCGCUUUACUCUCUCUGUUUUUGGGUUCUUUAUGGUUUGGAACUUAGCUAGUGUGAUCAAUUUAAUGAAGGACUUGGUUAUAAGUGUUGAGGAAGCAAAGAAAUAGAAUAUAUACUUGAAUUGGCCAUGACUACUUGUACUUCAUUAGUCGCCCCUCUCUCUCCCUCACCUCUCUCCGUCGGUUGGAUUUCACAAAAUUGAUGAUAAGUGGGGACUCUUCUUUGCAUUCUAACCUAACCUAACAACAAAGAAUUUCGACCCAAAAAAAACUAAGCAACAAAGGAAGGCAUUGCUUAGGUUAGACUUUUACGAAUAGAUGCUUCAUGCGUCACUUUUCUUUCCCUAUUUUUUCUUUAAAGAUCAAGCAAAGAACAAGAAUAUGUACUUGAAUUCGCCAGUAAAGACAGAAGGAAAAAAAAAUUUACUCUCUAAAUGUAACUGCCCCAACAAUAAAUUAAAUCUGACGUUAAUACUUGUGUCAGUAGUAUUCGCACUUUGAUGUUUUUUUAAAAAAAAAAAUUUCUUACUUUAAUUAAUCGUUCUGAUUUGAGAUGAUGAAAAAAAAUAUUUAUUGCAUCUGGGUUCUCUUUGCAUGCAUGUCCCUCAAUGAUGGUCCUGACUUUGGAAAUUUUGGAUGAAUUUGUUAAUUCUGAAUAAAAUUUUGGAAAAUUUUGAUUCAUUUCACGAGCUUGCUAGAAAAUUUGAGACUUCCACAGUGAACGAAAAGACUUGCCCUCCUAAUUCUUUACGCUUCAUAGAAACUGGACUGCAACGUCUUUGGGCGACCUGUUGUCCUGUAAUUGAGGCUUUGGUAUCUUAUUCUUUGAUUUUGUCUUCCCCUCAUGUUGCCUUUCUAUAUUUUAUUUCAGUUAAUUGAAAUUCAUAUACUCCGUUUAAAAACAAUAUAUCCCAAUUCCCUUGUAUUCACCUCCUCAACAGAACCAUGGCUGAUCUUGCCUUUCCUUUGGCAACCAACCUCAUUGAAAAGCUCGGGUCCUUUGCUUCUGAGCAGAUCUGCUUGGCAUGGGGCGUUAAAGCUGAUCUGAAAAAGCUUCAGCGCACAAUGUCCACCAUCAAAGAUGUCCUCUUGGAUGCCGAACAGAAGCAAGCUCAUAACCAGCAGAUACGCAGUUGGCUAAGACAGCUUAAAGAUGUAUUUCUUGACGCCGAGGAUUUGUUGGACGAGUUUGAGUGCGAAGCUUUGCGGAGGGAAGUGGUGGAAACAUUUCGUGGCACAACUGGAAAGGUACGCCGUUUCUUCUCUCGUUCUAAUCCAAUUGCAUUCCGUUUGAGAGUAGGUCAUGAAAUCAAGGAGAUUAGAGAGAGAUUAGAUGAGCUCAAGUCCAAUAAGGCUAUAUUUGAUUCUCUCACUAGUAUUGAUCAUCAUGGAGGUGGUGGUGACUAUCUUUCAGAAAGAAGAAGAGCAGCAAACCUUUUUUAGUACUACCAGACUUAGCUUACUCUGAUCUACGAGCACCCUUCUCUCCCUGAGGGCCCAUUAAAGCUUCAUGAGAGAGUGAAUGUGACCCACUCCUUCGUUCGUGCUUCAAAGGUUAUUGGUAGAGAGUCUGAGAAGAAACAAAUUAUAAAUCUCUUGAUGGAACAAGGUGAUGAUAAUCAAAGUGGGAAUGGGAAUGUCUCUGUUAUUCCUAUAGUGGGGAUUGAAGGUUUAGGGAAGACCACGCUUGCCAAGUUGGUGUACGAUGAUGAAAGGGUCGUUGGGCAUUUCGAAAAGAGGAUGUGGGUGUCUGUUUCAGUGGACUUUGAAAUUACUAGAUUGAUAAAGAUGAUUCUUAGUUCUGUAUCAGAUACAGAGAUGAGUGAUAAAUUGAGUCUGGAUCAGUUGCAAGGAAGGCUACGUCGUGCUUUAAAGGAUAAGAAAUUUUUGCUUGUUUUGGAUGAUGUUUGGAAUGAGGAUCCUAUUAAAUGGAAUGAGUUAAGAGAUUUAUUGAUAGAGGGAGCCAAGUCAGGAAGUAAGAUUUUAGUGACGACGAGAAAUACCUGGGUUGCUGAGAUGAUGGGUACCAUUCCAACAAGCAUUAAUUUAGAAUUUCUUUCUUUCGAGGAUUGUUUGUCUUUGUUUGUAGAAUGUGCUUUUAAAAAGGGACGUGAUAAAGGGAAAAUUCUGUGGUGCCUCAGCUGUAUCGGUACAGCCAGUUAUCCAAGGGUCAGUAUUGCAUCUUAAAAAUAAAGGGCUGAGAUUGAAUGACCUGAAGACUUGUUGAGCCCUUUGUUAUUAAAUAUCACGUGACAUACACGUGACUGAGAAAACAAGUGAAAAGCUUCAACGUGCGGAAGCCCUGGCGUGCAUUGGACCUGCUUAUCUCUGCGAUCGAUCUCUCUCUCUUGGAAAUCCAAUCCUCAUCUAUGUCCCCAAAUCAGAAUCUGGGCGUCUCACUUCUGCCGACGCUGAGAUGCAACAGUCAUCGGACAUCGCGUGCACUGGGAGCUGCUUCAUCUUUGCAAUAUAUCUCUCUUUCUCUCUCUCUCAAAUCCAAUCCUCAUCUUUGUCCCCAAGUUGGAAUCUGAUGCAUCUCCUCUCUGCCGACACUGCGAUGCAAGAACCAUCGGAGAG